GGGGUUUACUUUCAUAGAUUGACUUUGACCUUCUUUAUUACCAUUGAACUUGUCAUGUUUGAGCUCAAAUCUAGUAUUUAGCAAGUGACAAACACCUGGGGUGUUACAGUCACUUCUGUCUUGAGUAGUUAAAAGAUAGAACGGUCUUAGUCAAGUGCCAUGUCUCUUAUUCUUGAUCAGCUAUAGCUCUGGAGUUUUUGCAGAUUUUCAAAUAAAACUCAGAGAUUCCUUGUAUGAUUCUCUCAAAUCUCUCUUUUGUGGUAUUUUUGGAUCCUUACCAAGGCAGUGACGGUAUAUGCCUUCUCUCAAAAUUAUAUAGUAUUUGUGGCAUAAAGCAUAGUGACAUUGAUUUCUCUCUCACCCUACUCUAAUAAGGCUUUUGAUAUCUGGAGCUCAUAGGUGGGAGAUAAAGUAUACAUACUUAUAAGACAUUUAUUGUAUAGUCAAACCAUGGAUUCAAAGAAACAAAUCAAUAAGUCAAAUCAAGAUGUGCAUGUGUGGCGAAUGAAUGGUGUAUGGUGAUAAUGGUGAUAACAAUGGUGAAAGUCUAAUUCUACUUUUGCUCUUUUGAGGGGAUACAUACCUUUCUUGCUUUAUUGAAACUUUGUGAAGAGAAUGAGAUGCUCUUAUUUUUUUCUUUUCUCUCAGGUGGGUAUCUUGUACCCCUAAUUCUACUGUCGGACACUUGUCCAUUUUUACCUCUCGUCUCACUUUUUCUUUUCUUUCGAGGUUACGGGCACUUGCCCCUUUUUAUUUCCUCGUAUCUCUUUUUUUUUUCUUUUUUUUAGAGCACUCAUCUCAUGAGAUAAUAUAGCAAGUGGUAGUAACAAGAUAACUUGAGCAUUUAUUUCACAGGAAAAAACAGAAAUAUUUUUCGCCAUUCUCUCCCAGAUUAGGAGUAGAAUAUUUUUGGGUGGUUCUGGAGAUGGAAAUGAGUGGAUAUAUGUGGAUGGUACUUUCGGAGUAGAAGUAGCAUGUGUGAGUAAACGUGCAAGUGAAUCUUGAUUUAACCACAUGACAAGCUCCUAAGGGUCUGCACAGCUUGACCACACUCAAUGCUCAUAAGCAGUAAAUAGUAAAUGUGUGGCUCAAAGUCUAGCAAACAUGUAUAUAUGGCUGUGGUAGGAAUUUAAACUCUCAUCAUACAGGAACUCAUCAUGCAAUAUUUUAAAGAUUUUAAAAAAUUCUUCAGAAUUCUAGCAUCUCUAGGAACAGAUAAACAGCAGCUCAACCUUCCCAUAUCAUAACCGUUAACAACUUAGACUUCAGAUCAAGUUUUCUUCCCACAAGUUUAGGUUUAGAGCAAGCUUUUAAAUUAUAACAGUUAUGUCUAAACUUGAGAGAGAACUCAAAUUUGAAAAUUAGGCAGAGCAACUAUUCAUCAUAUCCAUGCUAGAGUUUUAUUUUUAAAAUUCCGAUAAGCAUAGCCACUUUAUUUAUUUAUUAAACACACUAAGCAAAAGAUAUAUAUAUAUAAGCAUAAAAUCUUUUUUUGGUUUUCCAUAAUUAUGUAUAUUUAUGUUUUAAUAUAAUAUAAGUAUAAAGAUAGAUAGGAAUACUUAGCGAGAUAAAUGGGGGUGCUAUCCCCAAGCUGAAUUUUGACGUAAUUUCCCUUUUUGUAGCUAGCAGGUGGCAGAGGUGUAUUUGAAAGUCGGCAGUAUCUUGACAGCGAUUAGAAUGUCCUCCGUCUGCUAGUCUUCUUGAUUCUUAAAUUCUGUGGAGCUCAAAUAGACAACAAAGCUUUGUGGAACUUCAUUAAGUGUUACCAUAAAUAUCUAGUCUUUAUCAUGUUGAGACUCCUCAAUAAAUAUCACUCUCUAUUUUUAUAUUUUCGUUUUAUAAAGUAGAAAUGAAAUAUUUAUUUUAUUUUUAUGCCACCACAGUGAAUGUACUUAUGGGUUUCAUGCCACUCAUAUACUCACAUGGGGCUUACAGUUCUUUAAGAUUUUUAUUUUCUUUUUAGGAUAGCAUGAACACGAUUAACUAAGCAAACUAUUUUAAAUAAUUGAAAGGGAAAGGAUAACUACCAAGUUUACCUCUUGGCAAGGCGUUCGGUGUUUUUAAGUCCUCCGAACGGGACUCUCCGUUUUCUCAAUUAUCCUAGGAUUCGUUGGGUGGCGGAGUCGGUACUUCCGGCGGCUCCUCCUCUUCAUGUAUAGUUAUCUUCUCUUUCCAUACCUGACUCGGUGCUACGGUCUCCUCUGGAUAAUUCUGUUUAAACUGAAUGUCUUUUGACCUUACAACUUCUCCUUCAUAGUCUGCCCAUCCGUCCUUGAUGAUUUCCCUCCUUUGGUUGCGGUUGCGUUGUUUUCUGACCUGCUUAUAGUCUUCAACGAUAUAAUUAGGGUCAGUAAAAUAACGGCGUACCUUCUCUGAGGGGAAGUGCAUAUGGACUUCUCCAAUUCCAAUGUAGAUGAUUGCUUUAAUGGUGCUGAGGAACGGUCUUCCAAGGAUGAUGGCUGGAUCGUAUUCGUCUUCUCCCAUGUCAAUAACCUGAAAGUCUGUGUAGACAAAAUGAUCGUCUAUUUUGAUAGGGACAUAAGUUACUAUACCUUUAACUUCUUGAAAUGUUUGAUCUGCCAUCUAGAGCUGAAUGUAUGUUGGUUUUAGGGGCAUGGUUCCGAACAAGAGCCGAUAGGUGACUACGGCCAUUAUGUUGACGCCCGAUCCGGUGUCGCACGUCGUCUUGUAGAAGUUGUACCCAUUUAUAGAGCAAUAGAUGCUUGGUAUUCUUGGGUCGUCCUUCUUGGUCAAAAAUGGUGACUUAAGAUGAUGAUCUUGACUUCCAUGAACUGCAGUGACCAUCUUAGCUGACUCGGUCCACACUUGCUUGUUCCUGUUCCUCCUGUUGGUCCUCUUCCUUGAUUCACGUCUGGAUUGAUCUGGGAUUUGUGUAGUCUUGUUCUUGAAGGAAAAUGUCUCCUUCCUUCCUUUGAUGUAGAAACUGAUCUUGGCAGCACUAGCGUAGAUGACAGCUCCCGAGGUGUUCAAGAGUGGCCUCCCUAAGAUAAUGGGUGCCCCCUCAUCAUUACCGGUCUCUAUCACCACGAAGUCUGCUGGGGCAUACAAGGUACCAACUAGGACACAAAAGUUCUUCAAUAUUCCUUUUGGAAAACUUAUCGUCUUAUCUGUAAACUGCAAACAUAUGGUUGUUUCUAAUAAAGGAUAUGUAAAGAAUUUUUCAUAGAGUACCAUAGGUAUAAUGUUGACGCUGGAGCCAAAGUCGCGGAGUGCUUCUAGGACGUCCACCAUGCUGAUGGAGAUCGAGAUGACCGGGCAUCCUGGAUCGCCUCUCUUGACCGGCAGAAGGUGAGUAGUGAAUUCAGUGACGGGGUUACUCCAAUUACCUGCAUCAAACAUGUCUACAAGAUUUGCAGAUUCAAAUCCUUCCGGUUGUGAUAGUAUACCGGGGUUAGUAGCAGGAACAGCAGCAGCUAUUUGAUUUAACUGAGAUUCAAUCAUUUUAUUAAAGCUAAUUUGAUUCUUGAUGGCAGUAGAGAAAUUAUCCAUUCUAUUAUUUAUAUUUUCUAGCAUUUUAUCAUUAGAUGCCAAUUUCUUAGAUAGGUUAUCCAUUAGCUUUCCUUGAUUAGACACUAACUCUCUGAGAGGUGGAAAAUUAUUAGUAUUAUUGUAAGAAUUAUUACCUUGAUAAUUACCUAAGUAGUUAGGCCUCUAUUGAUUCCAACAUUGAUUUUGUUGAGGACGGUUGUAGUUGUUGUUGUUGUUAUUGUUGUUGAUGUAGUUCACAUCCUCAAGCAUCUCAGGGUAGUGAUUGCCUGAGUGUCCAGUAUCUCCACACUCCUCACAAGUCAUGUGCGAGUCGUAGAUGUGCAUAACUUCUUUCUUGUCUCCAGCUCUAUCAUCGAGCUUCUUCAUGAGCAGGUCUAGCUUUGCAAACAGCAUGUCUACCUCCUUGAGCUGAUGCAUACCUCCACCUCUCUUGCGUGUCUGGGUCCUUUCUUCAUUCCAGCCUUGGUUGGACGCCAUCUUCUCCAUAAGAGUUGUGGCUUGUGAUAUGGUAAGUGAUAGGAAUGCUCCUCCAGCUGCAGCAUCCAUGGUUUCUCGGGCACUUUUGCCGAGCCCAUGAUAAAACAUCUGCAUUAAUAGCCAACUGUCUGUUCCAUGAUGGGGACAUUCUAGGAUGUAGUCUUGGAAGCGCUCCCAUGCUUCUGGAAUGGAUUCAUCAUGUUGUUGCUGAAAACUUGUAAUUUUCCCACGGAGAGCAUUGGUCUUGCCCAUGGGAAAGAAUUUAGCCAGAAAGUUUGUUGAGCAGAGUGCCCACGUAGUAUUCUUCUCCUUUGUAGCGUAGAACCACUGCUUCGCUCUUCCUAACAGUGAGAAUGGGAAGAGCAAAGUAGUAUAGCAUCUCUGGAAACUCCUGAUAUGGUAAAUGUGCUGCAUAUCUCUAGGAAGUGUUGGAGAUGAGCACUAGCAUCUUCGUGUGCCUUCCCACAGAACUGGUUGGAUUGCACCAUGUUGAUAAGUCCAGGCUUGAGCUCAAAGUUGCCAUCGAUCUCUGCAGCAGGUCCAGUGCGGAUGUUGUCCGUAGUGGGAGCUGAGAACUCGCGGAUUGAUUUGUUCGCCAUGGCUUCGAACUCUGAAGACAAGUUCCGGUUAUCUUCUUGAUUGGAUGAAGCUUCUUGCUGAAGUGUUGAUGAUCUCUUCUUGAGCUUGGCUCUAGUUUUUCUGAAUAAUGCUUUGAGAUUGUCAACAAAAUUUCCUGGAAGAUGUCUUCUAUUCAUACAUUACCCUGCAUAAGAUAAAAUAGAAAAAUAUCGGGGUAAAACUGUAUGAGAGAAUUAAUAAGCUCAAUCAUAUUAGUGAUGUGAAUGAUAACUCAAAAUCCUAUAUUCAUUCUUGAUUAGUAAUCAACCUUCCCCGGCAACGGCGCUAAAAAUGCUUGUUGGGUAUUCUUAACAUUACUACCAAAAGUAGACUUAGUUUUCUAAUUCUGAUAACGGUGCCAAAAAUGCCAAAUAUAUCCCUCACACCACUUAAGCCAGGUUGUCAUCCCCAGCAUGACAUGAGAGACGCGGUAUUGAAAUAUGCAAUUGCUCUUCUAAAUAAAUAAUGAAUGGGAUCUGCAAGCGCACAGAUUAAUACCGAUGUAGCAUUUUAACCGGGAAGUAUUCCAGGUAUUUAUUUAUAAUUUUACCACUGGGAAGGGAUUAACAAUCAUCAAUAUUGAUUACAGAAUGGAAUAUGAGAUUGAGUAUCUAUCAUUGCAUGUAUAAUUAAGAACAUUUAUCUAACUCUUUCAUACAGGGAUAAGUGUCACAUAAAAGAUAUAUGAAGUAAUGAAUAGUGACAAGGAUAAUUAAUCUGAUCAGCAUAACUUAGCCACAUAAUAAAUAUGAUAAGCACCUCAAUUAGAUAUUCUAGAAAGUCAUUAGCAUGGUAUUAGAAUGAACUACAAGAAUAUUCCCUAAGUUAUUCUCAACUAUAUAGUCUAGCAUUAUCAUAGUUAGUGCAAGCAUACUUAGCAAUCAUUAUGAGACAAGACUACGCCCAUGCAUAGUGAUAUUAGCAAGGUAAAUGAGAAACAUAGCAAUCACUCCCCUGUAAUAAUAUUGCUCUGCCAGCCCAAUACACGAGAGGGGGACUAUAUAAGAAUCAAUGAAGCUGUCACUAUUACGAACUACCCCGCGAUCUGGCAUAUUGGGUACAAUCGCAGAUAAAUACGGUAUAAGCACCACGCCUACACAAUAUCUAUCAUUUACCCAUGGAUCCGAUGGAUAAACGCUAUACGAUCCUAAGCAUGUAUAUAGAUCCAAUCUAACUAAGCCAAGUAUAUAACUAUAAUAAACUAAGAACAAUAUAAUCUUGAAUAUAAGCAAGUAGAGCAAAGUCAUAAGCAAUAUAUUGAAGUAGAACAAAGUCAUAUUCAUAAUAUUGAAGAACAAAUAUGAUUAGAAGAACAAUUAGAAAAUUACCAAGAAUUCUCUUGACAGAUCUGGAAACCAAUCGAAGAUUGACUCUUUCUAGUUUUCUAGUUCUAAUCCUAUGUAGCUAUACUAAUCUAGAUGUCUAAUUGAUGUGGUGGCUCUAAUCUUGAUCAGAGGCUUCUUCUCCCUUGAGGAAUAAUGAAUUAGGGUUGAGAGGCUCUCUCCUCCAGGGGCCAGGGGGUCUGGUUUUAUAGUCCCUUCAAGUGAAUAUCGGCCAUUGGAUCAAACCGACAUUGAUUGAACGUUUAUCCUUGAUCCUUUAGGGGGCAGGCACCCAGGAUCAAACCGACAUCUAGAAGAGUGUCCUGAUUGGACUCCAGCAGGGGGCAGGCACCCAGGUCAACUGGGCGGGCGCCCAGUGCCUGGCCCCGUUCGGCCUCUGCUUCCUUCCCGUGGCUUCUGGAGUCUUCUAGAUGUAAGAUAAUUGCGCGGCACGUUGAUAUCUCUAUGUAAUCCCGACGUGUGGGCCUUUCUUCCGUAUUUCCUGAUAACCCCCUGCAGAAAUAGACAAACACCAAAACUCGUGGAAUUCUGUCAGAUAAAACCCUAAGUCUGGAUGUUGAUUUUAUUUGGAUCCUUUUCUUUGUUUAUUUAGUAAUUAAAUUUGAUACUUAAGGACCGUCAACAGGGUCAUCCAGCACAAACUUGGCCCUCCCCUCUGGGUCGUCAGGGUUGGGCCAGAUAACGGGGUCCUAGCCCCAGGCCAUUCUCCCUCCCCCCUCCCUUGCAAGAGCCUCGGGUCGGGCCGGCCCCUUCCCGUGGGGCCUCGCAGGGGCCACCACGCUAAGGGUCUCCUCGGCUCGGCCCUCCUCGACCUGAUGGUCAUGGCCCCCUUGGCUAGUAUCCCCCGCAGGGGGAAUAGCCCCGAGGGCCAGGACUGUCUCUUCUGGCUCUUGGGGCCUCGGUGUUCCCACCUCCUUCGUCGGGGGAUCCGGCGUCUUUCGCAUGGUCUCCUGCCCCCCUUCGUCGUGGGGGAGCUCCCCCUCCUCGCGGUUCAGGGGGGCGGCGAUUUGGGCCUUGCCGAUCCAGGAGUCGACUGCGCCCCCCUUUUUACGGCCUUCAGGGGAGCUACCGCCACCGAGGCCGCCUUGUGCUUCCGGCUGAUGAAAGGAUGACGCAAGUCAGAAGAAAGAGAAAAACAAAAAAUCCAAAGAAAAAUCAGAAAACCUAUACACACCUUGCUCGAGUGGCAGCCUUCUUUUGGGAGCUCGGAACUCCCUGGGGGCCUCCCGGAGCGCCAGGAGCCGUUGGCUGGACCCCCGUCUCCCUUGCAGUUGGUGCAGGGACUUCGACGGUGGUCUCGGCCCGCGGCGCCUCAGCCGAGCCGCCUGUCUCUACCCAGACGCCGGACGAGGCUCAGAUGGGCCCUCCGGCGCUGCCGGUUGUGGGGGCACCUCGGAUCCGCCCCCUGACGCCCUCUCCCCCUCCUGGGUACCCAGGAGGACCGAGUCGUCCCAAGGAGCGCCGUCCUUUUCAUCGUCCACAAUUAUGUGGGGGGCGGUCCCGAGGAGCCCCGGUGCUUGGGACCCCUCGGGAGCCUCCGACCCCUCUCGGGCCUUCGACCCCUCUGGGAUCUCGAUGCCCCCACCGGCAGGGGGGAUCACAGCGUCCUCCUCCACCUCCAGCUCGUCGAGCCAGUGCGUGUUGUCUCCCCCACCCUCUAUCUCCGAGAUCGAAGUCUCGGGAGAGUCGGGCGGAGGGACCCCCGCCUUCUCAGCCUCACGAUGCUUUUUGGCAGAGAUCUCGCGGCGCUGCGCUUUCCUCGCAGCCUUCGCCUUCUGCGCCUCCUUGUCCUUCUUUUGCUCCUCAUUCCGGGCCCGAUUCUUGGCCCGGAUCACCUUGUCCUCAGGGAUAGGGGGCAGGGAGUCCUUGACGAUCCCCAUCCCCUUCAAAACAAGCAGAAAAGGGGAUUAAGGCAGGGAGAAAAAGCAAACAAGUGCAAAAAUCAAAAACAAAAAUAGCAUCUUACCAGAGAAAUGUAGCCCUUUUCAAGGCUCAUCGGCACCACCCUAGAGUUCUUCAAGUCCGGGUGCGUGGUCUUCGCGACCCGGGUGGCUAUGUCUGACGUCGACACCGGCUCUGCCAGCUUCAUUGUCCCGACCCAGGGGACAUCCCGGGUCAUCUCAAACAUAAACGCCCGUCGCUGCGCCAGCGGGAGCAAACUCCUCUUGUGGAAUGCCGUCGCCACCGUGGCCGCGGUAACUCUGGCGUCGCGCAGCUUCUCGAGCCCCGCGAGAAGCAGGGCAAGCCUCUUCUGCUCUUCCGCGGGGGCACCCCAUGCCCUCUUCUGGGGGCACUCUGUCACCAUCUUCCCAGUGUACUCCGGGAGCAGCCUGCCGUCGUUUUGGAUGUAGAACCCUCCGCUCUGCCAUCCCCGGUUCGACAAAGGCAUUUCACUCAAGAUAUACUAGUGAGAUCGUUGCUGACGGACCUGCAGCGUGCAGCUGCCGACCCGCAGGGGAAAUUUCUCCCCUCCAUCGUAGCGGGCGGCCAUAUCCGCCUUGAAGAGGUGAAGCUAGAGAUUCCAGUGAGGAGGAACCCCCAGGAAUCCCUCGCACACUGUGGCGAAUACGGCCGCCUGCAUCACCGAGUUCGGGUUGAGGUUGUGCAGCUCCACCUCAUAAUAAUGAAGAAUCGCCGGAUCAGGCGGUUCGCCGGAGUUCCGAACCCCCGGUCUAGGAACGAUAGGAAGCAAACCACAUAGCCCAGAGGCGGGUUUGGCUCCCUGUCGUUCACCGAGGGAACGAUCCACUCCGGCAGCCCGGCAUCCGUAAUGGGGCGGAGGAUCCCGGCCUUCACGCGCGCCUCUAGCGCGGACCUAGUCACAUUGCUAGGGGGCCACGCAUCAUCGCCGGCCAUGGCUACGAGCGGAGUAGGGCGUUUGCGGGGCGGAGUGGAGAAGACGGCAGCAAGAGGAAGAACAGGGGGCAAGAGCUUCUUUGCGCGAGAGUAGGAGGGAAGAAACCACUAACCCCGCGACUGCUUUUAUAGAAGGAGCGCACCACGGCCACACCGCCUGCGUAGAAGACCAAGGGGGAAAAGAGCAACCGUCGCCCGCUCCCUCACCAGGUGAAAAAAUUCGAAGCGCCCACUCCCUCCGAUUCUCACGCCCGCCGCACGCGCGCAUUAAUUUCGCAGGUGAAACGUCGCAUCCAGUCAGGGCACAACGGCACGACCGUUUCGACUCCCCAUGCGCGGCGCCUCAAAAGGAGCGCCCUGAAAAGAUAUGUCAGGGCGGUUCCUUCCAUGGCAAGCGGCGCUCGACCCCCUGCUGACCAAAGUCGCAGGGUGGACUCCGUCGGGCGCAAGUUCCGUCUCGCCCGACCCUCUACUGACCCCGAGCAAAAAUUGCAAGGCGGUUUCCGUCGGACGCAGAUCCCGUCUCGCCUGACCCCAAUACUAUAACCACAUCUGAAAAUCUCUCGAGGUAAAAAUCCCCAGGCUAUGGCCACCUACGUUCCAGAGGUUGCGAGACUGACCUGCGAAGCGGGUUCGAACAGUCGCCUCAAGAUAACCGAGUGAGGGAUGACUGAAGAUGAGCAUAAUAGAGGCCACGGUCCGAGCCCCUCAGAGGGUCGGCGCAUCUUUGCCAGUCGUAUCCGAGACCCAUGCGGGUGUCACGCGAGUGGGAUCCCAUCGAGGGAGGCACCGAGCCCUCGGAACCUAACGAACGGUUCCGACAUCCACUGUGACUGCCCUCGGGCAUUUUGAGAUGUGCCCAUAAGGCCACUAGCCGAGCCCUAGCGAAUGGGACUCGGACAUCCACUUGGAUUUACCCGCUUGCAGCUCUCGGGGAACGUCGAUACUCGCCCAUCGAGGAUAGUACGGUGCGACCAACCCCUCCUCCGAGCGAAAGGAUGAAUGAGGGACGUAACUACAAGACGAGAAAGAACCUGAUCGACCCUUGUGGUGAAAGGGCUCGGGGGCUUCCUCGCACAAUGGGGACAGGCACUACGUGUAAAGAACACGCAACCUACCCCUCAAAUACUCCCGACUACAACACUCAAGGGUAAAAUCCUUUGAAGGAAUGACACCAUUCCUCCAAAAAGCUCAGGGGCUACACCCGGUGGGUGCGCUCGCGCGCACCCUCCGGAUAAAGUAAAAAAGCUCCAAGUCAAGCAAAAUAGUCCCUCGAAAAAGAGCCUUUUGAAAGGGUGCCUUCACCCCUUCAAAGGCUCGGGGGCUACUGUUGGGUACCAUAAAAAGGGAUACCCAAAUCAGAAUAAUAAAAAUCGCAAAAGACAAAGCAAACCAUCCGCAAUCACUAGUGCGCGGGCCCCGGCUCGUCUGACUCCUCGGCCUCGGGCCCAAAACACGGCUCGCCCGACCCCUUUGGCCUCAGGCGCAAGUUCCGUCUCGCCCGACCCCUCUAGAGCUCGGGCGACGACACCGCCUCGCCCGACCCCUCUGGGCCUCGGACGCGAGUUCCGUCUCGCCCGACCCUCUAGGGCUCGGGCGCCAAUGCCGCUUCGCCCGAUCCCCCAUCACAAAGCAAGGCUUCCGACGCACAGCGCCCGUACCCACGACGUGACAGGCGCAGUCUCCCAUAUCGUAGCAGGGCAUGGUGGCGACUAUUCCAACCACCCUGGUCACUGCAGCCUCACCUCUUUCACUGUGUAACCUUACCUCUUUCACUAUGGUGUACCGCCUCACAGUAAAAGAGGAAUGGGAGAGAUUAACCAGUGUCACUGUUAGUUGUAUUUUCAUACUAUUACAGGACAGGCUGCAGUAUCACUGAUCCGACCCCCACGACUCCAACAAGGCUCGGUAACCCUCCACAGGAGCAGCCAUACUGUUAGCCAUGCCUCAAGGAUGGGACGGGCAAGCUUCUAUAGAGUCGGGACUGUGGCUUCACCACUCAGCAGAGGAAAUCUCCAAUCACCUAUGUAAAAACCUGUGUCCCCCUUGAGUUUAUAAAAGGGGAGCCAGGGCUCACAACCAAGACGGGUUCAUCCACACAACAAAAACACCACAACUCCAAGCGAGUUCACUCACAGAGUAGCAACCAGCGCUCUGCCCACCACACACAAAGUCAAGACUUGGGACUUAGCCCUCUCUCGCAACCCGCUUGUACACCCUUACUACAAGCACCUUUGGGUGCUAGGCAAUACAGACCCCUGAUCUCACUGGACGUAGGGCAUCCUUGGCCCGAACCAGUAUAAACUCUCUGUGUUCCACUUGCAUCACCAUCCGGGCUUAGAUAGUCAUGCAUUCUUAUACUCGUUUGUGUCUAGACCACGAGUCUAGACGCCGACACUAACAGUUCAGUUUUAUUCACUCCCUUCUUGCAUUUAUUACCUUGUUAUUAUUUAUUACUUCCUGCUUCUCAUAUUGCAUUUAUAUUCUUGUUUCAAGUUUUCUUACUUACUAUUUGAACCUUUCUUUUAUACCUUGUCUUUUAUUAUCAUUCUACUCAUAUUACCUUCUUGUUCCUUGUUUUUCAUUUAUUACUUGAAUUAUGCUUUAUUUUUGCCUUGUCAAUAAUUUCAUUACCUUGUUUUACAUUAUACCUUCAUUACUUACUUUCAUAUCUUACCAUAAAUACCGCCAAAGUUCAUAUCUUCCAUCCACUGUAUAAUCUUGAUUCAUCUUCAUUUCAUAUACACCAGUGCCUUCAUUUAUGUCAUUCAUAUCUUUAUCAUUGUCAAGAUCUAUUGCAUGUCUAUGAUCUUAUGCAUAAGUAGAUGACUCGUCAUUUGACCUGCCGCAAGAGCGUCAUUCGUUUCCAUCCCGUUCGAGCUGUGGAGUUCAUGUCAAUUGGUCGCGUUGAUAACAUCGAGUUCCAGCCUAGCCAGCAUCCUGAUGACGGUGCUAACCUCCAAGACGCGGAACCUUAUGAAGGACAGCAACCACCCCAAGCUCUGGUGGUGCAUGGAAGGGCGCCUUGCUGGGUGGCUGGAGGAGACGACCCCUUCGGCGAUGAUGAUGAUGAUGAGGAGGAGGAGGAUGCACCUGGAGGACCUGGAGGACCUGGUGGACCUGGAAGACCUGGAGGACCAGGAGGUCAAGAUGGACUCUUCGCUGCUGAUGACGGGUGGAUCGUGACAGUCUGCACCCGAGAUGGUGGAGAAUGUUUCUUCCACAGUGAGCUGAAGCGACUCCUCGACCAGCAGCUAGGACAUGGCAUGUCCGCAGUGGAGUACCGCAGCGAGCACUGGAGUCACCCGGAGUACCCGACGUUCUGGAAGGUCUGGGCACACGUCGGCAGGCCUAACCCGACGCUGAGAGCACUGAGGAUCAUGUCUAUACAUGAAGCUAUGGCAGAGAGGUCUACUCAGAUGGCGGGCAUCAAUGAUGCCGCUCGUCAGGCUUUCUACGCAUACCGUGAUCACUUGUUCGAGGACAUCAGCCAGGACGCACGUCACUACUAUCCUCGCCAUCGCCGUGGAGAGUUGGCGAUGACUAUUGCUCCUAUCACUGAUGAGCAGAACCCCCGCAUGCACAAGACUGUCAAGCUGGUGGCGGUCACCAACACCGAGAUCAACAGUUCACUAGUGGAGCUGAAGCAAGUGCGGAAGGAGCUGGAUGAUGCCAGGAAGAGGAUAGCGCAGCUAGAAGCUCAGAUCACUGGAGUGCCACCACCUUCACCUAAGUGGCCUGCUUUCUCUCCGCCCCGUGAAGACCCAGCCUAUGGAGAUGCCAACGCUCGUACUACCAUAGAAUAGGAGCUAUUCCCAGUGAAAGGAUCUAAUUGGCCUAGAGGGGGGGUGAAUAGGCGUAUCUAAAAACCUGAAACUCAAAACUCAAGUUGCGGAAGUUAAGUGUCUGUCGGUACCACCGAUAGUUUGGGCUGGUACUACUGGUGUAAGACAGCCAGUACUACCGACGCAAACUGCUGGUACUACCGACUCCCUAAGAUGGCUAUGAAAUCAGAGUGUAAUGAGCUUAGAUUUCAAAUUUGAGUUUUACCCCACUUUCCUAGAUGUAGGAGAGGAUGUUCUUGGAGUCUCCUUAGCUUGGUUCUUCUCCACAACGUAGAUCGACCCUUGUUUACCUAUUGAAGAGUGGGAAGAGAAAGAACACAAAAACAAGGGUAGUCGAAGCUACCUCCACAGCAACACAAGGUAUUUUUCCCGAGGUUCGGCAACCUCCACUUAGGAGUCCCUACGUCCCCGUUGUUGAGGUGGCCACGAAGGUCUGACCACUUAGGUCUCCUCCUCAAGCAACCACAAAGUUUAGCUUGAUGUUUCCACUAAGAAUCAAGGGGUAAUACAAACACUUUGGGGUGCCCUCACAAAUGAAUCAACACGGGCAACCACGAAGAACGCAUAGCCGGCUAGGGUUCUAAGAACCCAAGAGUAACAAAUACAAACCAAACCGGCAAGACGAGGAACCGAGUGCUCAAGUCACAGAUCGAAGCUCUCAACUCUCUAAUCUCACUUCUCUAGCUCGAAUCUCUCAAGAAGUGAAGUCUAGGAGCUAGAGGGAGAGAGAGUGGGUGAGAAAAAGCUUGGAGAGAGAGUAGCUAGAAUGAGCAAGCCAACGGUUAGAAAAGAGGAGAGAGCUAUUUAUACUAGAGUACAGAACACCUGCCGGUACUACCGGUGCAACCACCGGUACCACCGGUGUCCUCAGAUCUAAACGAGAGAAGACUAUGGAAGAUGUAAGAAAAAUGGCCUACCAGUACUACCAGCCUUAAGCCGGUACCACCGGCCAGCGCCGGUACGACCGGUGGAAGGCAGGUACCACCGGCAGUUCAAAUUCCCACAUUCAGCAGUUCUGCGAGAAUUUGGCCUACUGGUAAUACCGACGUUUCACCGGUACCACCGGUCAAAGCCCGGUACUACCGGUAGUUCAUUUUCUCGCAAAACUUAGGAGAAGGACUGGAACUGCCGGUACCACCGGCCCUGAGGGCCGGUACUACCGGCUCACCCUGGCAGAGAAGAAACUUCCUAGUUGUUUGUGUGUGCAAGUGUGUCUCUCAAGCGCAAAAGCUAAGUUGACCUGAGCACCCUUAUCCUCAUCUUACCAACUCAAUUCGCAUCCCUCUUGAUAGUGCGGCGUUUCCUAUAACUCAAACAAGAAAUAAAACUAGGUAGCUUCUUGAGUUGAAACGUCGCUCAAGUGAUGAAAUUUUGGGGGUGCUGUGAUUCACAAAAUGUGUUUCUUUGAUUCCAUCAAUGAACUAACACCUGUAGAUUACACUUGAUAGACUUGUUAGUUCCUAAUUUGAUUGUCAUUAAUUAUCAAAACCCACACUAGGGGCGAAUGCACUUACAAACUCCCCCUUUUUGGUAAUUGAUGACAACCAACUUAGGCUUAUAAAAGAUUGAAAGAAGUAGAGCUUUUGAAUUCCAAAAAUCAGGUUGGGCUACACCUUAAUGUAUGCAUUGGAUUUGGAAUUUCAAAUCUUGAUUAAUAUCAAGAUGACAUACAGUAAGAUCAAGCUCCCCCUAAAUUUUGCAAUUCGUGGGGUGCCUAAAAGAGUGUGUGUGUAACAAGAAAUAAACCGUGAUGCGUAUGACAGGAUAUAUCACAAAGAGUAAAAGAAGAAUUUGAAUGAUUAUGCAAGAGCUAAAGGACUCACAAUAACCAUUCAAAAACAACAUUGCAUCAACAAAGGUCCAAAUAAGCUAACACAGGCAAGAUAUGAUUAAAGAAAUAAAAGUGUUUAGCUUACAAUCAACCAUCACACAAAAGUAGGUCUUGUUCACCACUUAGAAAGGUUUAAAAGGGCACCAACAACUAACUUAUUACAUCAAAGAUAAUCCUAACACUCCCCCUUUAGCAGCAAGUGCCAAAAGGGUAGGCUGCGAGAAGGAGCUAGAAGUACUACUUGUCAUCAUCAUCGAGGUCGUCGUCGUCGUCGUAGUCGAUCAAGGUACGCACCAGCCCCUUACCAUGAGGAUCAGCGGAGGUAGACUGCUCGUAUGGGGGUGCAGCAGAGGCAGAGGCCCUAGUGACAUCAUCCGCGGGACCAAAGAUGUCCUGAUACGCAAAGCCAGCCUCGGUAUCCUCCAUGGAGAAACCAGUAGGGAUCCCACCACCAUAGGAUGGAUCAAAAGCAGAGGGUGGUGGAGGAUCCUGCUGCUCCUCAUCCUCAUCAACAGAAGUCCUGUGCAUGUUGUCAUAUUCAUAAUAGGGGUCCUAGAACUCACGAAGAGGAGAGGACGGAGGAAGAGCUGUGUAACAUCCCCGAUGUUACGGUUACUAAAAUUUGGAUCAUGUCAUCAUCAGCAUUGCACAUCAUAUUUAUUAAGCACACCCUGAUGCAUUAACUUAAAAUAAGUUUAAUUAGGUUGAAUGUGCUUAGGGAAUUAAAGUGUGUUUAUUUUGUGUAUUGAUGCUUGUGUUGGUUGCUAAAACCCUAGGGUGAAAGAUUUCCGAAAGAUUAGGGGGGGGAAACCCUGAUUUUUGAGCCCUAGAAUUGCCCCCUUUUGCACAAUUUAAAAACCAAGAAAAAUUUGAGGAUGAGUUCAAAAGCAAAGUUUUAGAUCUUGUCAAGAUGUACAACUUUGGUGUUUUGAGUUUUUGAGGUUUCAAUACAAAAUUCAAAGUAAUUUUGAAAAUGCAGAUUUCCAAAAAGUGUCCCCUUUUCCAAUUUGAACCUCCAAUUCAAAAUCUAUUUGGAAUUUUGAAAAGUGACCAACAUGAAAGUUGUAGAGCUCAAAAAGCUGAACAACUUUCAUGUUGGGAGUUUUUCAAUUUGUUUUGAAAAAUCAAAAGUAAUUUUGGAAAUUCUGAUUUGUCCCCAAUUCAAAAAUUUGAAUUUCCCCAAAUUGGUUUUUGAAUUUCAAACUGUUUUGUUAAAUUCACCAAGUUCCAUUCAGAAUUAGCCUUGGUCACCAACAGAUGAUUUGUAGCUUAUAAAAUUUUGCACAACUUUCAUUUUGGUGGCAAUUUGGCUUUAGUUCAAGUUUUGGCCGAAUUUCACAAAAAGACAGAGCAAGUGGAUAUGGAUUGCUACAGUGCUGAGCAGGGGGGGUGCUCUGCCGCCGGAGCAGAGCCGCCUUCGCGCGCGCCGCCACACGCCUAGCCACGCAGCUGCUUGGCUGCGCGAGCCCGCCGUGAAGUGGACAAGUCCCCGGCGUGCUCAUCCACUCCCCUCGGUGCUCCCACUGUGCGGCUGCCUUGCUUUUCUUUUUUUUUCGCCCGACGCCGACGACCUUGCUGCGCCCCUAAAAUUCCCCUCGCCUGCUUCCCUUCCGAGCCAUCCGAGCACUCCCAUAGCUUCGCCAAGCUCGUAGCCAUCGAUUGCGCCCCCAAACACACGCUCUACCCUACCGUAGCUCCAACCCGAGCCAUUCCCCUCUCCAACUCCGGCCGAAGCGCCGCCGCAAGCACCUCGCCGUGGCCAGCCUUUCCCCGAGCUUUCCAACCGCCGCGUUCUACCUUGUUGGAGUCGUGGUGAGCCCCUGAAGCUUAUGCGCAGGUUGGUUCGUGUUCUACCCGCUUGUAGUGGCCGGUGCCCGCGCCGAUAGCCUCGCCGUCCGCCAUGGACGCGGGCAAGGGGUUUAGAGAUGGAUAGCGCUUGAUCUGAGGGUCCCAGAGUAUGUGCAAGGGGCCGUAGACGCUAAACCACCCCGCCACUGGAGCCGGAGGCUCACCGACGGCGUGCAGGAAGUCGGCCGAGCCGAUGGCGGGAGGUAGGGGGAGGAUCUGACGGGCAGGACCCGCCCGUCAGCGACCGCCUGAGAGGGGGGAAACGCGCGCAGCGCCCGCGUGGGCCGAGCGGGAGCGGGCCGGCCUGCAGGCCGGAUUCCUGGGCCGCUCGUGGCAUAGUUUUGUUUUUUUCUUUUUCUUUUUCUGCAGUUUUUGAUUUAUGUUUGAUGUUGUGUAAUAAAUUAUGUGCUGCUCCAAAAAUGAUGAAAAAUUUUGUAUAGGUUCCAUGAAAUAAGUAGAACACAAGAAAAAUAGUAGGUUUCCUUUUCUGGUAGUUUGCAAGUGUAUAAAAAUUGCCUCUUUUAUUUAAUGAAUAAAACUUCUAUGAAUUUUAAUAAUUUAGUGAUAUGUCCAAAAAUCACCAAAAUUUGUGGGAUGCCUCUCAAUAUUUUUCCCUGGCUCCACACAAAAUUUGGUGGCAUUUGGAUAAGGUUUGAAUGAAAUAUUAUUAAACCCCUAUUUAGUAAUUAAAUAAUACUUCCAAAAUAAUUAGAUAAUAAUUAGUUAAAUCCUCAUAAUUAGGGUUGAGUGAUUUUGGGAUUGUGUGAUGACCUAAGGUCAUUAACCUUAAUGGCCUUUGGCAUUUAAUUAUUAUUUGGCAUUAAUGCUUAAUUACUGUCAUUAAUGAUUAAUUAAGAGUUAAUUAAGGUAAAUAGGAUUAAUAAUUAGUUAAUUUAGGAUAAUUAUGAAUUAAGAGAAACCUUAAUUUACAGAUGCAACCUCUUGGGUAAAGACACUAAGAUGUUAAACAACUUUACUUUUUAGUUAGUCUGUGUUGCACCGAGAAGACCAAUUAUACUUAAUUUGGUCCUUCUUACAUAUCUGUCAUACGCAUAUCAUGAGCAUCCAUCAUUUUGCGUAUAGUGCACGUGACCGAAGGAGCGACCGUUGAACCGAACCCCGAGGUCGGUGCUCCGUUCGAGGAAGUUGGAUCCGAGACUUGGGAAGUCUCCGAGGGUCCCUCUCUGCCCUGCAACCAAGGCAAGCCCCGGAUGCAUUAACCCCUCCUUGAAUGUUUUAAAUCCUUUAUCACUUAUGAAUUUAAAAUGCUGCAUUAGGUAGUUGAGAAUUGGUGUCGAGGGUUUCAACAAGGGGUACCCUCACCAAUGCGUAUAACCAGGCCAUCCGUACGCACGCGCGGCCAUCGACGACCAUGCGUAUACGCAGCCUUCGACGUCCGCAACCUCGAAGACGGAAAUAGCGUCGAGCGAAUCGGUCAGGGGUCGAGCGACAGCUGUCGUCGAAUACGGAAGCGGGCUCGAGCGAACCGAGAGGCGUCGAGUGCAAGGACACUGUCCGCCGCCUGACAUGCGCACGAGAGCCAGGGCGUUUAAUGCAUCUGACGCUUCCCCACCUAACACACGGGUCACGGAAGGCGUGAUAGGGAACAGGCUUCUGUCCCAUCGUUCUUUUUGCAGCCUUCCCACCGAACGACCCACGGCGUGUCAGGACGCAGGAAACAAGGAUGGAACGUCUAAUCGGGACCCCCUCGAGACACCCAAGGUCAGCGCUCCAGAUAUCAGCAUAUUACACGGCGUCCGACCCUCGACCGAACAGGGUCCCUUCCUAGGGACAAGUUGGGCGUCGACUGACAACACCACAGCUACCCCGCCGGAUCCGCCGCCAUACCGUACAAGCAUGCGACUUCAGAACCAGCACGAGGCGGCGGGCAGGGCAGAACGCAGGAGCACGCGUAAUCAUCACCGGGCUAUCAAGAUGGGACGGCUCGAGGCCAUGCCGUACGGAAGCCUCGAGUAGGUCAGCGCUCCAUGCGGCUAUCGACCCCUACUCUAACAUCUACGCAUGUACCCUGGGUCUCUCCUUGGAGCUAUAAAAGGAGAGACUCAGGAAUAGAACGGGGAUGAGGACACAAGACCACGCUCAUACGUAGUAAAGCUCCACACUUCAUUCCACGCUUGUAUUCGCCCCUGUACAAGCACUUAGGUGCAAGAUAAUACAAACUCUCUCCCCCCGCUGGACGUAGGGCCUUCUCUUGCCCGAACCAGGAUAAAUCUCUGUGUCUUCUUGCAUCACCAUCCGGGAAAGGGAGCACGCAUACAAAUUUACUCGUUGGUGUGACCCCGGGGGAAAAACACCGACAGUUGGCGCGCCAGGUAGGGGUCCUGCGUGUUUUUUCAUCGAUUUCCCACUCCUUUCCGGAUGGCUACUCUUGCCUCGCCGUUUCCGCGCUCCACGGUGAUUUGGUUCGGGAGCCUCGAGUUCAUGUCUACGGGCUCCGGCUACGACAUGAUCUUGCUCUCAGUCAAAGGACCAGGAGGAGCCCGCGUUACACCAGCACGGUUGAAGGCCCCGAGACGCCCUCACCACCACGCCUCCCCGCCUAAGAAGAGGCGCGGACAGCACCGCCGCGGCCCCUCUGCUUCAGCACGACCAACAACUCGUGCGAGGCAGGACGUAGGCCACAAGUCGGCAGCACCAUGUGACGGAGCAACAAGCGCGACGACUCAGCACCGCGCGACGACAGGAGAGGACGCGUCUCGCGCGCUCUCCCCCACCGCAGCUAGGCUACUUCCACACGGGUUGUUCUCUCCAAGAGCGGCACUGCCGUUCGGAUUGGACAACGCCGCGGCGUCGCUCGCCAGGGCGAUAUGCCCAAACGCCCAAACAUACGUAGAAAGACCAAUGGUCCUUCCACGUAGCUCUGAAGCGCGGCGGUCGGCGCCCGAGCUGCUGGACCUUUCCCAAGUACGAGGCCUCCGUCGUCUAGGCCCCGGACGAUACUCGAUCACCUCCCUCAGGCAACGAUUGCUGGAGGAAGGACGUGGGUGUUUCUACGCCGCCGAACCGGACUCCGACUCCGAGACAGACAGCUAUGACCCUACGAGGGAAUGCUAUCACAUCGACAGGGCGGUAGAAACCACUGACGAGACACGGGAUGCUGCUGUGGGUGGUCGAGCCCCCGCGGCGCGAGAAGACCCCAGGACGCCUGGGAACGACGGACAGGUCGACCCGCCUCCUUAGGAAGACAGAACCGCGCAGCUCGCGCAGCUGCGGGAGCUCAAGAUGAAGCUCGACGAAGACCGCGAGCGCCUCGUCCUGCUCGAGCAAAUCCUCAAGCAAGACCUACCCUACCCGCCGGGCGGAAGUGUCCGCAGACGCGCUCGAGAGGUACAUCGACAGAUCGUCGGCGACUCAGAGCCAGAGCAACCUGUCAGCCGUUUCCCUCGAGCAGGCCAGAAUGUAGUGGCAGCGACGAUGCUGCUACGUAACAUGCCAGAACCGUCAAAUUCCCAGGCCCGACGCAUUCGAGAUGAGGUACAGACAUUGCUCCAGGUGGCGGCAGUUCAACAAGCCGAAAGUUCGGCGUCUCGACGGCGAGGAGCUGCCAUAGAGAAGCGCGACGAACAGCCUCUAAACGAAGAGGAGAUGUCAGUCCAACAACAACCUCCCCCUCGAGGUAGAAAGACCGCACUCAUCCUCCUCGUCGACGGUCAACGUCGACACGACGCGCGGCACGACAUCAAAGAAAAUCGACGCCGCCGGCACGGAGACGCGGAAGAGCGCGGUUAUAGCGCGCAUCGUGGCGGGAGAUACGACAGCGACGAGGACCGGGUGGCCCCCAAGCCACCAGGCCCACGGGUGUUCAGCAGGGCGAUCCGCAGCAUGCCCCUGCCCAAUCCAUUUCGACCCCCAACCAGCAUCGCGAAAGGAGGAUUCACCCAUUUGCUGGUGGCCAUUGACAAGUUCUCCAAAUGGAUCGAGGCUCGACCCAUCACCAACAUCCGCUCCGAGCAGGCCGUCCUUUUCUUCACCGACAUUAUCCAUCGGUUUGGGAUCCCCAAUGUCAUCAUCACCGACAACGGCACCCAGUUCACCGGCAAAAAGUUCCUGGACUUCUGCGAUCGGCAUCACAUCCGUGUGAACUGGUCUGCAGUAGCCCACCCUCGAACUAACGGCCAAGUCGAGCGUGCCAACGGCAUGAUUUUGCAAGGACUCAAGCCAAGGAUCUACAAUCGAUUGAAGAAAUUCGGCAAAAAAUGGGUCGAGGAGCUUUCCUCAGUCCUAUGGAGCCUUAGGACAACACCAAGCAAGGCCACAAAAUACACCCCGUUCUUCAUGGUCUACGGCUCUGAGGCCAUCCUCCCCACAGACCUCGAGUAUGGGUCACCUCGACUCAAGGCCUACAACGAGCAAUCGAACAAAGAGACUCAAGAAAACGCGGUCGACCAACUUGAGGAGGCUAGAGACAUGGCCCUCCUCAACUCUGCCAGAUAUCAGCAAAGGCUUCGACGCUACCACGACAAGCAUGUGCGCAAGAGGGACCUCAACGUGGGCGACCUAGUCCUACGACGCCGGCAAAGCAAUCAGGGAUGCCACAAGCUGACUCCGCCUUGGGAAGGUCCGUACGUGGUAGCCGAGGUCCUGAAGCCGGGAACGUACAAGCUGGCGGACGAAAAAGGGGCAAUUCUCACUAACGCAUGGAACAUCGAACAGCUACGUCGAUUCUACCCCUAGAAGUUCUAAACUUAUGUUCCUGCUUACGUUUUGUACCAAGACUUUGUAAACGAAUGAAUGAAUAAAUAAAGUCUUCCCCUCGAAACAAUUCUUCUUUCUUUGCGCCGAGAAGAUUGAUAAGUCACGAUCUCGACGUUAGAAGGGGGCGCCGACUAUGACCCAUCAUAGUCAGCACCCCCUCGGGGGCUACCAGGGGGACGACACCCCCCCCCCCCGAGUAUCGAAAAAACCGAGAAGUUUUCUUUUCUUACGUAGUAAACCUUGCACGGUUCAAGUUGCUAAGGCACCUCGAGCCCCUCAAAGGCCGAGGGACAACGGGCUGGAGAACUCCUACGCCCCCGGGCUACGGAAACUCUACUCGCUUCCCCACCAUUGAAGUGAUCGAGGUGGUCUUUUACAAAAAAUCGAGCAAGGGAUACAAACGUAGGCACAAAGAGAGACGAAAGCAUCAAGCGGAAAGACAAAAUAAGCAUCUAACAAUUACGAAAGUGAUACAGCAUCAGUUAACCACAGAAUUCACAAAGUAUUGUACAAGGGGCCUCAGGCGCCCUGAGCAGGCUCGCAGGCCUUAGUCCGCGGCACGAUCCUCACCGCCCUCGCCUCCGCCCGAGCUAGCCUCAGGAGGGAGCACCUCAGGCUCGAAAAGCUUGGCCAACCUUUCCCCAGGAGCCUCCGCGUCGUCGAUCAAGGCAUGGAGCCUCUCCUCGUUCUCCGCGUCGGUCUUGGAGAUGUCGGUGACGAAGCCAUGGGACACCACCUCCAUGUCGUAGGAGAAGCCCGAGCAGACAACCGCCAUCGCCCGCUUCACCCCGAUGUGGAGGGCGUCCCGCACCCGAUCUCGUAGCGUCGCGCCUAUGUAGCACAACUGGUCGACCAGGGCGUCGCCUCGAGCGUCCUCCCUCGACUCAUCCAUAGGCUCGACCUCCCAAGAGGUCGAGAGAUCACUUAUCGCCGUCCGUACUCGACGGUUCAAAGCAACCUCCGCCUCGAGCUGAGCCUUGGCGUUGCGAGCCUCGGCUUGGGCGGCCAGGAGUUUGUCCUUGAGCCCUGCAAAAGCCAAUACAAAGAGACCUUAGGAAAAACUAAGCACACCUCGGAAAAAGAAAUCUAAUAGAGGAAACAUACCGCGUACGGUCUCCUCGAGGGCCGUGUUCUCGCCGACCAGCCUGGUGUUGGCCCCCUCGAUCUCUUUGUUGGAGCGUGCCAGCUCGGUGUUGGCAACGCGGAGAUCCUCGAUCGCCUUGCCAGCCUGAGCAAUGGCCCCACUCUUCUCCAGCAAUUCUCCCUUCAGACGCUCGACGUCGUUAGAGAGAUUGCGGGAUCGAGCCCGCUCCGCCUCGAGAUCUUCGAGGGCCUUCUUCUUGGCUUCCUCCGCGGCGCCCCUGGCGACCUCGCCGUUCACAUGCUCCACCUUCAUCUUUCGGAAGGACUCUCGGAGAGAGUCCAGGUCGGAUUUAAGGAGGCCCUUCUCCUUGUCCAGAUCCGCGAUAACGCUCUUGUAGGACAGGGCCUCCUCCCCGGCUCUGGACGCGGCUUCCUCGACCGUAAGGGCCCGCUCCCGUAGCUGCAUCGUCUCCUCCUCCGCCUUCUUCGAGGCCUCUCGGGCCUCAGCCAGGGCAGCCUCCCUCGCCUUCUUCUCCUCCUCGAGCGCUAUGAGAUCUUUGUAAGCUUUAAGGAUCUUUUCCUGCGACUCGAGGAGUUGAUCCUUGAGGAGGGGGAGCUGCUCCCAACCGCCCCUCGUGGCGUGUAUGAAGCUGGACUUGAUGCGGGAGGUCUCUUUCAUAUCCUGCGAAUCAAGAGUCGGAUGGAUUAGAAUACAGAAACCUGAAAGCACCAUGAGGAUUGGAGUUCGAGAAACACUUACGAAAUAGGCCGGGCCGAGCCCGUUGUUGAUAACGUCCGAGAGGAGCCCCACCACAUGCUUCAUCCAAAGGCGGAGCUCCUCGACGUGUUCCCACUUCUCCGCUUCCUUCCGAUCGUCGAGGAAGAUGUCGGGCUCAGACGGGUCGUGGGAGGCCCGGAUACGGAUGCGGUCGGGGCACCAGUGCUCCAUCUCCCGGUCAGCCCGCGCCUUAACGCCGCGGAUGAGGCCCUCGACGGUCUCGAGGGAGCCCCCAUGGCGCAGGAACAGGUCGACGAGGCAUGGGAACCGUCCGUCGUCGUCCACCGUCUUCCAGGUUCCAUCCUUGGUCCCCGAUGCCCCAAUUUCAUCCUCCUCGGAAGGAAAGCGGUCCUCCCACGCCCGACGUUCCUGGAGGAACCCUGGAGCGAUCCCGUCCAUGCCGUAAAUUGUCCUCUUAAUAUCGGACUCGGCGUCGGGAGGCGUGCGCUUCAGGCAGGCGAGCGCCACCACUCCGUCCGCUUGCCCCGGCUCUGCCCGGAUCGCAGCCGGUGCCCCCGGGAGGAACCACGCCGGGGUUGGGGGGCCGUACACCGGCAGGUCCUCCUCCUCGCCGAGCUCUUGCGGCUCCGGUGGCACUGGCUGGGCCGAACCUUGGGGCGGAGGCUGGAGCGGUCCCUCCUCUUGGCCCACCCGCCGCUGCUGCAGUUGCUGCUGUGGUUGCUCCUGCGGUUGUUGCUGUUGCUGCUGCUGCUGUUGUUGUUGCUGCUGUUGCUGUGCCUCAUGCUCCUGUGGCCGCCGCGCCGCCUCGCGCUCCCGCUGUUCAUCCUCCUCCCUCUUCUUCUUCUGCUCCUCGAGGGUGCGGAGGCCGGCGGGCCAGGGAGUCGAUCCCGCGACGUUGGGGGUCGACGCUUCCUCCUCCAUAGGGCGAGCGCCCCCAGACGCUUCGUUACCAUCGGACGUAUCGCUGAUGGUGAUAGGUUCCCCCUCGACCCCCAAUCGGGGGGGCUCGGGGGCUCCCUCUGACGCUUGCGUCUGGGGCGCCUCAUCACGAGUCGGCGGCAACGGAGUAGGCGCGGGACGAGACGGAGCCCUCUCGACGCUGGCUGGAGGUUGGGAGCUGGAGGAGCCUACGAAACAAAGGGUAAGGGUCAGACGUUAUGAUAACCGACACAGGAACAUCGCAACGCCCAGAAAUAAACUACGAACCUGGUUCCUUGGAGGCGGCACCCGUUCUGAGCCUCUUUGCCAUGGACGGUUGGGCCUGCUCAAGGGUCCGCUUCAGCCUGAGAAAAGGUUGGCAUAUGAGGAAAGGUGGAAGAAUGGGAAGACAAAUACCGCAACAACAAAAAGGCUUACCCCACAGGGAGAACGGCUCGCCUUCCGCCACCCCGACCAGUGGGCCUCGAGCCACCCCGCGUCGGGGCUCCAGGCCCCUCGAGGGCAGGCACUGGCUUAGGCGCGUCGGUCCCCGCCUGGCGGGCGCCGGGACUGGCGCUCCUACAGCCGGCAUCUCCUUUCUCAGAGGCCGCGGCGCGACCACGAGUUAGUGGCCCCGACGCCUGGGGCCUAGCCAGACCGCUCUCCCUGGGCACUGGGGGAGGGCGCGGUGCGUCUUGGCCCGCCUUGGGCGCGGGAGGGGUGUCGGCCCGGGGGCGACGAGAUCCGCUCGGACCCUCCUCUGGCGCCUCCGUCCGGGGGGCGUCGACGUCACCUCGAGGCGGGCCCUCGAGAAUCCGAUCGAGGCGCGACGCCAUCCCCUCGGAGUCGUCGCUGUCCUCGUCAUCAUAGUCAUCAUCGUUAGGGGAUUCUUCCUCAGGCUCCCCCCUCUGCCUGGAUUUGGCUCGACGCGCCUCUAAUGCUUGGCGGUCGAGGUUCUUCUUCUUCUCCCCCUUCUUUGCAGAGUCCUUCGCAGACUUUAGCUUUUCGGCAGAUUGGCGCCGUUUGUCACGAUCGACCUCGUCCUCCUUUACCGGAGGCCUCGAGGACCGGACAUCAAUCCGACCCUGCCAAAACUAAGGUAGACUUAGAAAAAAGAGAGGGGAGAAAGGAAACCCAGAAUCGAGGCUGCGCGCAAGAAGAAAGCGUACCAGAUCGAUCGAGCCUGCGUCAGGUCUCAUGGGGAAGCCGUUAACAUGCUCCGGCUGAAAAUCACUGGCAAUUGCAGCCCUGACUCGGGCCGCGACUUCGUCGUCCGCCGGAGCCUCGUUGGACAUCCGACACGCCUCAAGGUCCCGAGAUGAGACACCAGGGCCCAUCUCGUCCAUCCUCAACGGUCGAGACAUCAAAGGGAGAACUCUCCGGUGAUGGACGACCGAGAGGACGAGAGCGGCGGUCAAACCCUCCUAGCGAAGCUUCUUCAGGGCGUCGAGGAGGGGGUCGAGCCGAGAUUGAUGAGCUUGGACGACGCCGUAUGUCCAAUCCGCUGGACGCUCCAUGAUCAGACGGCCUGAGUAGGAAGGCAGGAGGUUGUCAUCGUUCCGCAGAUAAAACCACUGGGAGUCCCAGCCGGCGUGGUUGGUCGAUAACCCUACCGGGAUGUACUCCCGCGGCCUGUCCGUCUUCCCCGUCUUCUGCACCAGAUUGAGGCAUCCCGCCCGCACGGGCUUCCUUACGCCCGUGGUUCCGGUGGGGGCAUGGAAAAGCUCGCCCGUGUAGAGGUGGAGCCACAGCUCCCAGUGCGGCAUCAUCCCCAAGUAGCCCUCACAUACGGCGGCGAAGACCGCCGCUACGGUGAUGGCGUUCGGAGAGAAGUGCUGGAGCUCCACCCCAUAAUGGAGGCAGAGGGCCUGCAUGAAGCGGCUCGGGGGCGCGCCCAGACCGUGGCGGUGGAACUUGGCGAACGACACCACGUAGCCCUCGGGCGGCUGAGGCCUCCUGUGACUCGCCGGCGGCGCGAUCCACUCUGGCGACGAUAGCGAGGUACGGCGGCGCAGCAGUCCCUCUUUCUCAAGCUCUAACAACCGGCGCUCCGUCAUCGACGACGGGCGCCAGUCGUCGGCGGCGACGAGUCUUACAGGCAUCUCGGCUGGAGGGACGGUAGAUUCACUACAGCUCGAGGAGGCGUGUGCGCGUGAGACGGCGAGAAAGCAAAGGCAACGAGAGAAUAAAAGCGAGAAGGCGGAAGGGAGAGGAACAGCGGCGACGCCACAACGUAUUUAUAGGCAGCGGUCCGCCAAUGGACAGAUCCGAGAAAUAAGGUAACUCCCUCCCAUAAAUGCGCCGUCUAACGGUCCUUUCUCUCCACACAGGCCGGACGCUCCGAAUUCCCCGCCGAUACAGUGUCGCAACGUCACUUACCUCAAAAGGUGCGCCCAAUGGGCAGAAAGACGAACCGGCACGGCAGUUUCCUUACUUUGUAAGCCAAGGUAUGCGCCCAGGAUAGUCUCGAGAGGUCGAUGGCUGGCCCGUCGAAAGGGUUCGACAGCCGAUCUCGAGCACCAAGAGUCAGGGAUCCCCAGCGAGCGGUCGAAAAUCGAGGCCCGCCUCGAGGACUCGCUGGCGAUGUCCAAGGUAGGGUCGAGACAGUCGAGAGGAAUCCCCCCGAAGGGAGGCAUCGAGCCGCUGGACUCUAUCGAAUGAGACCGGUAUCCCGACCACGUCGACCCCGCUUUAUGAGGACGCCUCCGGGCUACAGCUGACCCCCUCGAAAGGGGCACAGGUUCUCACUUGGACUACCCGCUAGGAACUCAAUCUGGGGUGGAAGACGCUCGCUCUAUCGAGAGUACGUCGAAACCUCCACGCAAGGCAAAGCCGAACAGAACCUUCCACCACGGGUGUUGACAGCGUUUCUGCAAAUUUGGCAAAAUAACCCUCGAAGGAGUUGAAUACUCCCUCGAGGGCUCGGGGGGCUACCCCCGCGGGGUCGCUCGCGCGCCCCCGUGGAAGCUCGACCGUAAAAACGAAAGUCUCCACUCGAGCGCCAGCGCUCGAAUGAAGACUCGGGGGCUACUGUCGAGGGUAUCAACAAGGGGUACCCUCACCAAUGCGUAUAACCAGGCCAUCCGUACGCACGCGCGGCCAUCGACGGCCAUGCGUAUACGCAGCCUUCGACGUCCGCAACCUCGAAGAUGGAAAUAGCGUCGAGCGAAUCGGUCAGGGGUCGAGCGACAGCUGCCGUCGAAUACGGAAGCGGGCUCGAGCGAACCGAGAGGCGUCGAGCGCAAGGACACUGUCCGCCGCCUGACACGCGCACGAGAGCCAGGGCGUUUAAUGCACCUGACGCUUCCCCACCUAACACACGGGUCACGGAAGGCGUGAUAGGGAACAGGCUUCUGUCCCAUCGUUCUUUUUGCAGCCUUCCCACCGAACGACCCAGGGCGUGUCAGGACACAGGAAACAAGGAUGGAACGUCUAAUCGGGACCCCCUCGAGACACCCAAGGUCAGCGCUCCAGAUAUCAGCAUAUUACACGGCGUCCGACCCUCGACCGAACAGGGUCCCUUCCUAGGGACAAGUUGGGCGUCGACUGACAACACCACAGCUACCCCGCCGGAUCCGCCGCCAUACCGUACAAGCAUGCGACUUCAGAACCAGCGCGAGGCGGCGGGCAGGGCAGAACGCAGGAGCACGCGUAAUCAUCACCGGGCUAUCAAGAUGGGACGGCUCGAGGCCAAGCCGUACGGAAGCCUCGAGUAGGUCAGCGCUCCAUGCGGCUAUCGACCCCUACUCUAACAUCUACGCAUGUACCCUGCGUCUCUCCUUGGAGCUAUAAAAGGAGAGACUCAGGAAUAGAACGGGGAUGAGGACACAAGACCACGCUCAUACGUAGUAAAGCUCCACACUUCAUUCCACGCUUGUAUUCGCCCCUGUACAAGCACUUAGGUGCAAGAUAAUACAAACUCUCUCCCCCCGCUGGACGUAGGGCCUUCUCUUGCCCGAACCAGGAUAAAUCUCUGUGUCUUCUUGCAUCACCAUCCGGGAAAGGGAGCACGCAUACAAAUUUACUCGUUGGUGUGACCCCCCGGGGGAAAAACACCGACAAUUGGGUUAACCUACUUGCUGCAUUUACUACCUUGAUAUCUGUUAUCUUGUCCUUGGCACCUGUUUUGUUUAAAACUGCGUAGUGAUGCUUAGCCCUGCUACUAGAUAGGUUUGCAACAAGAAAGUUUGAAGGGUUGUUGUGGAAUACUCUUAUGGUCAAUGAUGUUUCAACUUGAGACCGGUCGGUGGACUUGCUUUAAGAAUGGAGUCUUAAAGUAGUGUCUCCAACUGUGUUAGUUAAGGACCGGUCCAUUGAUGGCCCGCUGGGUUGAGAACUUAUAGUACUAGCCACUUGCCCUCGGUAAGCCCGGUCCUGUGAUCCCUCGAUGCGAACAGCUACUCGCGCACUGGGCGUGGAGCGAUGGCGAGAGUAGUGUGUACCCACCUUACGGAUCUGAGAUGACCGGGAAACAUCUAGAUCGGCUGUAGGAUGGUGGAGUACUAUGCUCUCGGGUGCCGCGAACCUGGUCAAAUUUGGGAAGAGCUUGAUUUGGGUUGACAUAUGUAAGAUUUGGUUCUACAUAUGUCGGGUGGUUAGGAACUCCAGCUGGAUUGCUAAGCGGUUCGAAUCGUCGUUGCUCCCCGAUUGGGAGACUCAAUCCACUGACCCUCAUCAUAGUUAAAUAUGCAACUAAGUGGUAAAAUGAGGAAAGGGGGAAAUGUCUCAUGAGGUUCGGAUCCCAAUUCACGGACUCAGAGUGACAUGAAGCUAUGGCCGUUGGAUAGAUAAUACUUUGAUUAAGGACUAGGAACUUACAGACUUGUCUGUGGGAGGCAACUAGAUAGACUGUCCUCGAACUCCUCGACCUCUUAAGGAGAGGAAUUCGCGGGUAAAACUUGAAAGUAAGGAUGCACUAUUAGUAAGCUUUUUAGCAAAACACUUUGGCUCCUUGCUCAGCCACCCCUUGUCUACCCUAAGCCUGCAUCCCUAACUUCUCCUCUUUUCCGACCGGGUAAGUCUUGUUGAGUACUCCCGUACUCAGGGUUUUAUAACCCCUGUUGCAGGUGAAGCUCAGGAGCCGACCUGCUUCGGACCCUGUUGUGUGUCCGUCGUCGAGGUUGACGACGAGGAAGAGUGAGCGUGACCCAUGGGCAGGGUCUGUAAAUUUGUAAUCUCUGUGUUAAAGUUUAAGUUGCUCCGCUGGACCUGGCUUGUAAUAACACUCUGCUAUUUGGACGAACUCCUUUUGUAAAUUAAGUUAUGUAAUACUUCCGCUGUUUACUCUGAACUAUUAUUUUGAUCUUAUGUCGUCUGUGAUACUGCAAUGUCUUCGCAACGAGUGAUCCUGGUGUUAAGGUGGCCACUUGCUAUCCUGUAAAGGAGAGAAGAAGAAGUUCUCGUUAAUUGACCAUCGCUAGUGGUCAGGACGAGUUCACUUGAUACGCCACAGGUAGCGGUGGAAUGAGCGUCCAGUGAUGCUCAUCGGACUUCUAAAGUGGGAGGAUCCCCGGCAUCACCGUCAGAGGUCCUCAGGACAAUGACAGGUGUCGGUGGGCCCAAACACUUAGGAGGUUCUGCCACAGCUGGUAUCAGAGCAUUCGUUGCUAAGGCGUCUGUUGUAUUCUUUGAAAAACUUCAAAAUCAUUUGGAUUCAAUGCUAUAAACUUGCCUAUUUUGAGUCCAAGUGCUUUAGUCCUAACUUACCCCUGUCUGUAGGCCUUCUUAGAACUUUUGAAGUGGUGUGGUGGAGCAACAUAAAGUACUGCCCUAUGUUGUAAAGUUCUAAGUAAUAUCGUUCUGAAUUGUUGAUAGGAAUCGUAAGUUCGUGCAUGCAUCAUGAUAUAUCACUUGGUUAAAUUCCUUCCUCCUUGUUUGGGUUGGGUUGUAUAAAAUCAAUCCCAUUAUUGCUAACCUUUAGGGUCUCCCUUACUAAUCUAAACUUACCCUCUAUAGGAUGGCCCGUUGGAAGCAGACCCCGCGCAAGAGGACUGGUCCAAAAGGAGUCCCUAAACACCAGAUGGCCCCGCGAAGCGAUCAAGCAAGCAGUAGCCGUUCACCGCCCCAGCAGGAGGUGGACAGGUUGUCCGCCGAGCUGACCGAAGUGAUGAGAGAAAGGAUGUACAACGUUAUGGAGAUCGGCGAACUUAAGGCUCAACUAGCCAAAGAAAAACAAGCCACAGAGAACUGUGAGGCCAUGUUGUCCCGUAUGGUGGAGGAGAGGAAUGCCGCUAUUGCCCGAGAAGAAGAGGCCAGGAGCGCACACAGGCACGAGCUGACUAGGAUGAAUGCAAAGCUGGGCAAGGCCAAGUACCUUAAAGAUCUGUACAUGAAGAUGACGGCCACUGUCACCGCGCAGCGGGAUGUCGCGUGGCAGCGGGAGGACCAGCUCCAGUUGGAGAAGUUGGAGCUAGCACAUCAUUUAGAUACUGUCAAUGACUUGGCAAUGCAAUAUCGUGAUAUUGCAUUUGACCUAUAUCAUUAGCUCCAUCCGCCUCCAGGCGAAGGAGAGAUGGAUACGGACAGAGAGUUGGCGGACGAUGGGGAACCCGAUCAAGGCCUCAGUGAUGAGGAGGAGUCCGACUCCGGUGACGACAACCCGGGGGGUAAUCAUGACGAUGGCGAUGACGACCCAGGCUACAGCUCUGGCCACACCGACUAGUUCGGCGAAGCCAUGGGCAACAUCGUCGAGCUUUUUCAUGAGUAGGUCUAGCUUUGCAGACAGCAUGUCUACCUCCUUCAGCUGAUGCAUACCUCCACCUCUCUUGCGUGUCUGGGUCCUCUCUUCAUUCCAGCUUUGAUUGGACGCCAUCUUCUCCACAAGAGCUGUGGCUUGUGGUAUAGUAAGUGAUAAGAAUGCUCCUCCAGCUGCAGCACCCAUGGUCUCUCGGGCACUAUUGCUGAGCCCAUGAUAAAACGUCUGCAUCAAUAGCCAACUCUCCAUUCCAUGAUGGGGACAUUCUAGGAUGUAGUCUUGAAAGCGCUCCCAUGCUUCUGGAACAGAUUCAUCAUUUUGUUGCUGAAAACUUGUAAUCUUCCCACGGAGAGCAUUGGUCUUGCCCAUGGGAAAGAACUUAGCGAGGAAGUUUGUUGAGCAGAGUGCCCACGUAGUAUUCUUCUCCUUUGUAGCGUAGAACCACUGCUUCGCUCUUCCUAACAGUGAGAAUGGGAAGAGGCGAAGUAGUAUAGCAUCUUUGGAAACUCCUGCUAUGGUGAAUGUGUUGCAAAUCUCCAGGAAGUGUUGUAAAUGAGCACUAGCAACUUCGUGUGCCUUCCCACAGAACUGGUUGGAUUGCACCAUGUUGAUAAGUCCAGGCUUGAGCUCAAAGUUGCCAUCGAUCUCUGCAGCAGGUCCAGUGCGGAUGUUGUCCGUAGUGGGAGCUGAGAACUCGCGGAUUGAUUUGUUCGCCAUGGCUUCGAACUCUGAAGACAAGUUCCGGUGAUCUUCUUGAUUGGAUGAAGCUUCUUCGUGAAGUGUUGAUGAUCUCUUUGGCUUGGCUCUCGUCUUCUUGAAUAAUGCUUCAGCAUUGUCAACAAAAUUCCCUGGAAGAUGUCUUCUAUUCAUACAUUCCCCUGCAUAAGAUAAAAAUAGAAAAUAUCGGGGUAAAACUGUAUGGGAGAAUAGAUAAGCUCAAUCAUAUUAGUGAUGCGAAUGAUAACUCAAAAUCUUUUAUUCCAUUCCUGAUUAGUAAUCAACCUUCCCCGGCAACGGCGCCAAAAAUGCUUGUUGGGUAUUUUUAACAUCAUUACGAAAAGUAGACUAAGUUCUAAAUCUAGCAACGGUGCCAAAAAUGCCAAACCUAUCCCUCACACCACUUAAGCCAAGUUGUCAUCCCCAGCAUGAUAUAAGAGACGCGGUAUUGAAAUAUGCAAUUGCUCUUCUAAAUAAAUAAUGAAUGGGAUCUGCAAGCGCACAGAUUAAUACCGAUGCAGCAUUUUAACUGGGAAGUAUUCCAGGUAUCGUUAUUUAUAUUUUUACCACUGGGAAGGGAUUAGAAAUCAUCAAUAUUGAUUACAGAAUAGAAUAUGAGAUUGAGCAUCUAUCAUUGCAUGUAUAAUUGAGAACAUUAUAUCUAACUCUUCAUACAGGGAUAAGUGUCACAUAAAAGAUAUAUGAAAUAAUAAUAGUGACAAGGAUAACUAAUCUGAUCUAGCCACAUAAUAAAUAUGAUAAGCACCUCAAUUAGAUACUCUAGAAAGUCAUUAGCAUGGUAUUAGAACGAACUACAAGAAUAUUCCCUAAGUUAUUCUUAACUAUAUAGUCUAGCAUUAUCAUAGUUAGUGCAAGCAUACUUAGCAAUCAUUGUGAGACAAGACUACGCCCAUGCAUAGUGAUAUUAGCAAGGAAUAUGAGAAACAUAGCAAUCACUCCCCUGUAAUAAUGUUGCUCUGCCAGCCCAAUACACGAGAGGGGGACUAUAUAAGAAUCAAUGAAGCUGUCACUAUCACGAACCACCCCACGAUCUGGCAUAUUGGGUACAAUCACAGAUAAAUACGGUAUAAGCACCACGCCUACACAAUAUCUAUCAUUUACCCAUGGAUCCGAUGGAUAAACGCUAUACGAUCCUAAGCAUGUAUAUAGAUCCAAUCUAACUAAGCCAAGUAUAUAACUAUGAUAAACUAAGAACAAUAUAAUCUUGAAUAUAAGCAAGUAGAGCAAAGUCAUAAGCAAUAUAUUGAAGUAGAACAAACUCAUAUUCAUAAUAUUGAAGAACAAAGAUAAUUAGAAAGCAAUUAGAAGCACAAUUAGAGAAUUACCAAGAAUCCUCUUGACAGAUCUGGAAACCAAUCGAAGAUUGACUCCUUCUAGUUCUAAUCCUAUGUAGCUAUGCUAAUCUAGAUAUCUAAUUGAUGUGGUGGCUCUAAUCUUGAUCAGAGGCUUCUUCUCCCUUGAUGGAACAAUGAAUUAGGGUUGAGAGGCUCUCUCCUCCAGGGGCCAGGGGGUCUGGUUUUAUAGUCCCUCCAAGUUAAUAUGGGCCCUUAGAUCAAACUGACAUAGAUUGUAUGGUUUAGAUUCAUCCUUUAGGUCGGUGGAGAUCUCCCACAAAGCAGAGUCCUGAUUGGACUCAGGGGCAGGGCGGGUGCCCUGACCAACUGGGCGGCCGCCCAGGGUCAGGCCCGUUUCGCCUCCGCUUCGGUCUCGUGGCUUCUGGAGUCUUCUAGAUGUAAGAUAAUUGCGCAGCACGUUAAUAUCUUUACGUAAUCCCGACAUGUGGGCCUUUCUUCCGUAUUUCCUGAUAACCCCCUGCAGAAAUAGACAAACACCAAAACUCGUGGAAUUCUGUCAGAUAAAACCCUAAGUCCAGAUCUUGAUUUCAUUUGGAUCCUUUUCUUUAUUUAUUUGAUAAUUAAAUUUGAUACUUAAGGACCGUCAACAAACUCCUCCAAGCUUACCUCUUGCUCGUCCCUGAGCAAGGAUAGACUCAGCCAUGGAUCAUAAGUUGUUGCAAUAUUAUUUAAAAAAUUGACGGUACACAUGCUUUUAAAUAAGAUCUCAUCUCUGAGUUAGAGUAAACUGUCAAGACUUAAAACUUACUUACUUUACCUUCACCAUGGGACUUGUAACCGUCACUUCUGUCUUGAGUGGUUAAAAGAUAGAACAGUCUAGCCAAGUGCCAUGUCUCUUAUUCUUGAUCAGCUAUAGCUCUGGGGUUUUUGCAGAUUUUCAAAUAAAACUCAGAGAUUCCUUGUAUGAUUCUCUCAGGUCUCUCUUUUGUGGUAUUUCUGGAUCCUUACCAAGGCAGUGAUGGUAUAUGCCUUCUCUCAAGAUAUGUGGUAUUUGUGGUAUGAGCCAUAGUGACAUUGCCUUCUCUCUUACCCUACUCUAAUAAGGCUUUAAUAUCUGGAGCUCAUAGGUGGGAGAUAAAGUAUACAUACUUAUAAGACAUUUAUUGCAUAGUCAAACCAUGGAUCCAAAGAAACAAAUCAAUAAGUUUAAUCAAGAUGUGCAUGUGUGGCGAAUGAAUGGUGUAUGGUGAUGAUGGUGAUAACAAUGGUGAAAACAAUGGAGGUGCAAGUCUAAUUCUACUUUGCUCUUUGAGGGGAUACAUACCUUCCUUGCUUUUGAAACUUUAUGAUAAGAAUGAGAUGCUCUUCUUUUUCUUUUCUCUCAGGUGGGCAUCUUGUACCCCUAAUUCUACUGUCGGACACUUGUCCAUUUUUACCUCUCAUCUCACUUUUUUCUUUUCUUUCGAGGUUCCGAGCACUUGCUCCUUUUUAUUUUCUCGUAUUUUUUCUCUUUUUUUAGAGCAGUCAUCUCUUGAGAUAAUAUAGCAAGUGGUAGUAACAAGAUAACUUGAGCAUUUAUUUCACAAGGGGAAAAUAGAAAUAUUUUUGGUUAUUCUCUCCCGGAUUAGGAGUAGAAUAUUUUUGGGUGAUUCCGGAGAUGGAAUGGGUGGAUAUAUGUGGAUGGUACUUCCGGAGUAGAAGUAGCAUAUAUGAGUGAACGUGCAAGUGAAAUCUUGAUUUAACCACAUGACAAGCUCCUAAGGGUCGACACAGCUUGACCACACUCAAUGCUCAUAAGCAGUAAAUAGUAAAUGUGUGGCUCAAAAUCUAGCAAGCAUGUAUAUAUGGUCGUGGUAGGAAUUUAAACUCUCAUCAUACAGGAACUCAUCAUGCAACAUUUUAAAGAUUUUCAAAGAUAAAAUUCUCCAGAAUUCUAGCAUCUCUAGGAACAGAUAAACAGCAGCUCAACCUUCCCAUAUCGUAUCCGUUAAGAACUUAGACUUCAGAUCAAGUUUUCAUCCCACAAGUUUAGGUCUAGAGCAAGCUUUAAAUUAUUACAGUUAUGGCUAAACUUGAGAGAGAACUUAAAAUGUGCAAAUUAGGUAGAGCUACUAUUCAUCAUAUCCAUGCUUAAGUUUUAUUUAGAUACAGAUUAGCAUAGCCACUUUAUUUAUUUAUUAAACACACUAAGCAAAAGAUAUAUAUAUAUAUAUAUAUAUAUAUAUAUAAGCAUAAAAUCUUUAUUUGGUUUUCCAUAGUUUAUAUGUAUUUUAAUAUUCUAAAAUAAUAUAAGUAUAAAGAUAGAUAGAUAGAAAUACUUAUCGGGAUAAAUGGGGGUGCUAUCCCCCAAGCUGAAUUUUGACGUAAUUUCUCUUGAUGUAGCUAGCAGGUGGGAGAGGUGUAUUUGAAAGUCAGCAGCUUUCUGACAGCGAUUAGAAUGUCCUCCGUCUGCCAGUCUUCUUGAUUCUUAAAUUCUGUGGAGCUCAAAUAGACAACAAAGCUUGUGGAACUGAUUAAGUGUUAGCAUAAAUAUCUAGCCUUUAUUAUCUUGAGACUCCUUAAUAAAUAUUACUCCCUGUUUUUAUAUUUUUAUUUUAUAAAGCAGAAAAAUAUUUAUUUUUAUGCCACCACAGUGAAUGUACUUAUGGGUUUUAUGCCACUCGUCUACUCACAUGGGGCUUACUGUUUUUCAUAUUUUUAUUUUCUUUUUAGGAUAGUAUGAAUAUGAUUAACUAAGUAAAAUAAUUGAAAAGAAAAGGGUAACUACCAAGUUUACCUCUUGGCAAGGCGUUCGGUGUUUUUAAGUCCUCCGAACGGGACUCUCCAUUUUCUUUAAUCGUCCUGAGGUUCGUUGGGUGGCGUAGUCGGUACUUCCGGCAGCGCCUCUUCUUCUUGUAUAGUUAUCUUCAUUUUCCAUACCUGACUCGGUGCUUCAAUCUCCUCUGGAUAAUUUUUUUUAAACUCAACGUCUUCUGAUCUUACAACUUCUCCUUCGUAGUCUGCCCAUCCGUCCUUGAUGAUCUGCCUCCUGUGGAUGCGGUUGCGUCUUUUUCUGACCCGCUUAGAUUCUUCAACAAUAUAGUUAGGGUCAGUAAAAUAACGGCGUACCUUCUCUGAGGGGAAGUGCAUAUGGACUUCUCUGGUUCCAAUAUAGAUAAUUGCUUUAACAGUGCUGAGGAACGGUCUUCCAAGGAUGAUGGGUGGAUCAUACUCAUCUUCUCCCAUGUCAACAACUUGAAAGUCUGUGUAGACAAAGUGAUCGUCUAUUUUGACUGGGACAUCAGAUACUAUUCCUUGAACUUCUCGAAAUGUCUGAUCUACCAUCUGGAGCUGAAUGUAUGUUGGUCUUAGUGGCAUGGUUCCGAACAAGAGCCGAUAGGUGACUGCGGCCAUUAUGUUGACGCCCGAUCCGGUGUCGCAAAUCGUCUUGUAGAAGUUGUAUCCAUUUAUGGAGCAGUAAAUGCUUGGCAUUCCUGGGUCGUCCUUCUUGGUCAAAGACGGUGACUUAAGUUGAUGAUCUUGGCCUCCAUGAACUACAGUGACCAUCUUAGCUGACUCGGUCCACACUUGCUUGUUCCUGUUCCUCAUGUUGGUCCUCUUCCUUGAUUUACAUCUGGAUUGAUCUGGAAUUUGUGUAGUCUUGUUCUUGAAGAAAAAUGUCUCCUUCUUCCCUUUGACGUAGAAACUAAUCUUGGCAGCACUAGCGUAGAUGAUAGCUCCCGUGGUGUUCAAGAAUGGCCUUCCUAGGAUGAUAGGUGCUCUCUCAUCAUUUCCGGUCUCUACUACUACGAAGUCUGCUGGGGCAUAUAAGGUACCAACUCGGACACAAAGGUUCCUCACUAUUCCUUUUGGAAAAGUUAUCGUCUGAUCUGCAAACUGCAAACACAUGGUUGUCUCUAAUAAAGGAUAUGUAAAGAAUUUUUCAUAGAGUACCCUGGGUAUAAUGUUGACGCUAGAGCCAAAGUCACAGAGUGCUUCUGGGAAGUCCACCAUGCCGAUAGAGAUCGGGAUGACGGGGCGUCCUGGAUCGCCUCUCUUGACCGGCAGACGGUCAGUAGAAAAUUCAGUGACAGGGUUACUACAAUUACCUGCAUCAAACACGUCUACAAGAUUUGCAGAUUCUAAUCCUUCCGGUUGUGAUGGUAUACCGGGGUUAGUAGUAGGAACAGUAGCAACUAUUUGACUUAACUGAGAUUCAAUCAUUUUAUUAAAGCUAAUUUGAUUCUUGAUGGCAGUAGAAAAAUUAUCCAUUCUAUUAUUUAUAUUUUCUAGCAUUUUAUCAUUAGAUGCCAAUUUCUUAGAUAGAUUAUCCAUUAGCUUUCCUUGAUUAGACACUAACUCUCUCAGAGGUGGAAAAUUAUUAUUAUUGUUGUAAGAAUUGUUACCUUGAUAAUUAGCUGAGUAGUUAGGCCUCUGUUGAUUCCAACCUUGAUUUUGUUGAGGACGGUUGUAGUAGUUAUUGUUGUUGUUGUUGUUGAUGUAGUUCACAUCCUCAAGUAUCUCAGGGCAGUGGUUGCCUGAGUGUCCAGUGUCUCCACACUCCUCACAAGUCAUGUGAGAGUCGUAGAUGUGCAUAACUUCUUUCUUGUCUCCAGCUCUAUCGUCGAGCUUUUUCAUGAGUAGGUCUAGCUUUGCAGACAGCAUGUCUACCUCCUUCAGCUGAUGCAUACCUCCACCUCUCUUGCGUGUCUGGGUCCUCUCUUCAUUCCAGCUUUGAUUGGACGCCAUCUUCUCCACAAGAGCUGUGGCUUGUGGUAUAGUAAGUGAUAAGAAUGCUCCUCCAGCUGCAGCACCCAUGGUCUCUCGGGCACUAUUGCUGAGCCCAUGAUAAAACGUCUGCAUCAAUAGCCAACUCUCCAUUCCAUGAUGGGGACAUUCUAGGAUGUAGUCUUGAAAGCGCUCCCAUGCUUCUGGAACAGAUUCAUCAUUUUGUUGCUGAAAACUUGUAAUCUUCCCACGGAGAGCAUUGGUCUUGCCCAUGGGAAAGAACUUAGCGAGGAAGUUUGUUGAGCAGAGUGCCCACGUAGUAUUCUUCUCCUUUGUAGCGUAGAACCACUGCUUCGCUCUUCCUAACAGUGAGAAUGGGAAGAGGCGAAGUAGUAUAGCAUCUUUGGAAACUCCUGCUAUGGUGAAUGUGUUGCAAAUCUCCAGGAAGUGUUGUAAAUGAGCACUAGCAUCUUCGUGUGCCUUCCCACAGAACUGGUUGGAUUGCACCAUGUUGAUAAGUCCAGGCUUGAGCUCAAAGUUGCCAUCGAUCUCUGCAGCAGGUCCAGUGCGGAUGUUGUCCGUAGUGGGAGCUGAGAACUCGCGGAUUGAUUUGUUCGCCAUGGCUUCGAACUCUGAAGACAAGUUCCGGUGAUCUUCUUGAUUGGAUGAAGCUUCUUCGUGAAGUGUUGAUGAUCUCUUUGGCUUGGCUCUCGUCUUCUUGAAUAAUGCUUCAGGAUUGUCAACAAAAUUCCCUGGAAGAUGUCUUCUAUUCAUACAUUCCCCUGCAUAAGAUAAAAAUAGAAAAUAUCGGGGUAAAACUGUAUGAGAGAAUAGAUAAGCUCAAUCAUAUUAGUGAUGCGAAUGAUAACUCAAAAUCUUUUAUUCCAUUCCUGAUUAGUAAUCAACCUUCCCCGGCAACGGCGCCAAAAAUGCUUGUUGGGUAUUUUUAACAUCAUUACGAAAAGUAGACUAAGUUCUAAAUCUAGCAACGGUGCCAAAAAUGCCAAACCUAUCCCUCACACCACUUAAGCCAAGUUGUCAUCCCCAGCAUGAUAUAAGAGACGCGGUAUUGAAAUAUGCAAUUGCUCUUCUAAAUAAAUAAUGAAUGGGAUCUGCAAGCGCACAGAUUAAUACCGAUGCAGCAUUUUAACCGGGAAGUAUUCCAGGUAUCGUUAUUUAUAUUUUUACCACUGGGAAGGGAUUAGAAAUCAUCAAUAUUGAUUAGAGAAUAGAAUAUGAGAUUGAGCAUCUAUCAUUGCAUGUAUAAUUGAGAACAUUAUAUCUAACUCUUCAUACAGGGAUAAGUGUCACAUAAAAGAUAUAUGAAAUAAUAAUAGUGACAAGGAUAACUAAUCUGAUCUAGCCACAUAAUAAAUAUGAUAAGCACCUCAAUUAGAUACUCUAGAAAGUCAUUAGCAUGGUAUUAGAACGAACUACAAGAAUAUUCCCUAAGUUAUUCUUAACUAUAUAGUCUAGCAUUAUCAUAGUUAGUGCAAGCAUACUUAGCAAUCAUUGUGAGACAAGACUACGCCCAUGCAUAGUGAUAUUAGCAAGGAAUAUGAGAAACAUAGCAAUCACUCCCCUGUAAUAAUGUUGCUCUGCCAGCCCAAUACACGAGAGGGGGACUAUAUAAGAAUCAAUGAAGCUGUCACUAUCACGAACCACCCCACGAUCUGGCAUAUUGGGUACAAUCACAGAUAAAUACGGUAUAAGCACCACGCCUACACAAUAUCUAUCAUUUACCCAUGGAUCCGAUGGAUAAACGCUAUACGAUCCUAAGCAUGUAUAUAGAUCCAAUCUAACUAAGCCAAGUAUAUAACUAUGAUAAACUAAGAACAAUAUAAUCUUGAAUAUAAGCAAGUAGAGCAAAGUCAUAAGCAAUAUAUUGAAGUAGAACAAACUCAUAUUCAUAAUAUUGAAGAACAAAGAUAAUUAGAAAGCAAUUAGAAGCACAAUUAGAGAAUUACCAAGAAUCCUCUUGACAGAUCUGGAAACCAAUCGAAGAUUGACUCCUUCUAGUUCUAAUCCUAUGUAGCUAUGCUAAUCUAGAUAUCUAAUUGAUGUGGUGGCUCUAAUCUUGAUCAGAGGCUUCUUCUCCCUUGAUGGAACAAUGAAUUAGGGUUGAGAGGCUCUCUCCUCCAGGGGCCAGGGGGUCUGGUUUUAUAGUCCCUCCAAGUGAAUAUGGGCCCUUAGAUCAAACCGACAUAGAUUGUAUGGUUUAGAUUCAUCCUUUAGGUCGGUGGAGAUCUCCCGCAAAGCAGAGUUCUGAUUGGACUCAGGGGCAGGGCGGGCGCCCUGACCAACUGGGCGGCCACCCAGGGUCAGGCCCCGUUUCGCCUCUGCUUCGGUCUCGUGGCUUCUGGAGUCUUCUAGAUGUAAGAUAAUUGCGCAGCACGUUAAUAUCUUUACGUAAUCCCGACAUGUGGGCCUUUCUUCCGUAUUUCCUGAUAACCCCCUGCAGAAAUAGACAAACACCAAAACUCGUGGAAUUCUGUCAGAUAAAACCCUAAGUCUAGAUCUUGAUUUCAUUUGGAUCCUUUUCUUUAUUUAUUUGAUAAUUAAAUUUGAUACUUAAGGACCGUCAACAAUGUCGAUGCGUACACGCGGAUCUGAUGGAGCCGGAACAUCUCAGGGAGGGGAUGAUAUCCCCAACCCUCCACCUACUCCACCUUCCCUGGCUGAUGCCAUUGCUGUUCUCUUGAGUGCCACUACCGACAACGCUCGCUUGUUGCGCGAGUUAGCCCAACGCCAACCACACCCCGCCCCAAACUUCAGAGCACCGCACAAUGGGGACGGAGAAGCUCGGUACGUGGACUUUACCGAGACCAGGCCCCCGGUAUUCACUAAGGCUGAUGAGCCUCUAGAAGCAGAUGACCGGCUCCAAACCGUGGAGCACAAGUUCAGUUUGAUUCAGUGUUCAGAAACUCAGAAGCCCCUGUUCGCAGCUCAGCAGCUUCGGGGAGCUGCAGGUGCCUGGUGGGAGAAUUUCCUAGCUAUCCAAGCUCCAGGACACCAGGUCACCUGGACCGAGUUUAAGGACGCGUUCCGCGCCCAUUACAUCCCUGAAGGGCUCAUGGCCAUGAAGGCUGAAGAAUUUCUCGCCUUACAGCAAGGCGAUAAGAGUGUCAUGGAAUACGUGGCAAAAUUUAAUCACCUCUCUCAGUACGCCACGGACCAUGUGAACACGGAUAGAAAGAAGAAAGUCUGUUUCAUGCGUGGUCUAAAUACCAAACUUCAGACCAUGAUGACCACCUGUCAAAAUGCUACCUUCUAUGAGGCGGUAAAUAUUGCCAUCGCCUCAGAAGAAAAGAAUAGAAAGCACAAAGAAGCCAAGAAGAAGGCUGCUUCUUCCUCCUUCUCUGGUAGUCAAAAGCGCCAGAGAAUCAUUUAUCAUCCACAGGGCCACGGACGCUUUCAAGCGCCGCCACCUUAUCGUGGUCCUUUUUCCCCUCCACAAUAUAGACCAGGGCAGCAGGUAUACCCUCGACCUACUGCCAUCAUCACUGCACCACGCCAGCCGAAUGCCCCAGGUGUUCGUCCCACUGCCCUACCCAGCCACAAUUAUCCUUGUUUCAAUUGUGGUAAGCCUGGGCAUUUUUCUAAAGAAUGCCCUUACCCCCGCCAAACCAACACCACCUUCCAAAGGCCACCCACUGGCCAACCCCAGCCAAGUCAAUUUAGGACUGGGGCUCAGAAAGGACAACAGGUGCAAAGGGGUAAACCCGUAAAGAAGAUGGGACAAGUCUUCCAUACAGAGGUGGAGACGAUAUCGGAAGGAGAACCGGUGAUGAUGGGUACGUUUCCUGUUGCGAAACAUCCUGCUUUAAUGCUUUUCGAUUCUGGUGCAUCUCAUACAUUCAUCAACCGCACCUUUGUGUUAAAGCAUGGCAUACCCAUUGGGGAAACGAAAGAUCAUUUUUAUAUACAGUCACCAGGAGGACGACUGAGUUCUAAAGAAAUGGUUCACCAGAUACCCAUCAAAUUUGGUGGGCAUAGUUUUCCCACCAGCAUGAUUGUUCUUAAGGACCAAGAGAUUGAUGUCAUACUAGGCAUGAACUGGAUGGCACAACGAGGGGUUGUGCUAGACACUUUGCAUCGAACCAUUAAAAUACCAUUGCCCAAUGAGAAUUCUUAUCUGCUAAUUCAAUUAGUUACUCCCAAGCGGGCAAUUGGGCAAGUUCAUGCCACUAAUGUGUCUGCAGUCCAAGAUAUCCUGGUAGUUCGGAAUUUUCCGGAUGUAUUUCCUGAAGACCUACCAGGUCUGCCACCGGACCGGGAUGUCCAGUUCAGUAUAGAAUUGAAACCAAGGACAGCCCCAAUAUCUCGAAGGGCCUACAGAAUGGCACCGAAAGAACUGGCCGAAUUAAAAACCCAACUACAAGAGCUGUUGCAGAAAGGUUUUAUUCAGCCCAGUUCCUCUCCAUGGGGUUGCCCAGCCUUGUUUGUGAAAAAGAAAGAUCAAACAUUAAGGCUGUGUGUCGAUUAUCGUCCCCUGAAUGAGGUGACGAUUAAGAACAAGUACCCAUUGCCCCGUAUUGACUUACUAUUUGACCAGUUGGCCGGGGCCAAGGUAUUCUCAAAAAUUGAUUUGAGAUCAGGGUACCACCAAAUUAAAAUUAGGCCGGAAGAUGUACCCAAGACAGCUUUUACAACCCGUUAUGGGCUGUAUGAAUACUUGGUGAUGUCUUUUGGGUUGACCAAUGCACCGACCCAUUUCAUGUACUUGAUGAACUCUGUCUUCAUGCCAGAACUGGACAAAUUUGUGGUCGUCUUUAUUGAUGACAUCUUGAUCUACUCCAAGACUAAGAAAGAACAUGCUGAACAUCUGAGAAUUGUGCUGACCCGUCUUAGGGAGCAUCAACUAUAUGCCAAGUUCAGCAAAUGUGAGUUCUGGCUGGACAAAGUCCAUUUCCUGGGUCAUGUAUUGUCAGCGGAGGGAGUCGCUGUAGACCCAGGUAAGGUAGAAGAUGUUUUAAAUUGGAGACCCCCGACUACGGUACAUGAGGUCCGUAGUUUUCUGGGUAUGGCGGGAUAUUACCGUCGCUUUAUCCCUGACUUUUCAAGAGUCGCCAAACCAAUCACGACCUUGCUCAAGAAUCAAACGAAAUUUGUUUGGUCACCUCAAUGUGAGCAAGCCUUUCAGACUCUGAAAAGGUUAUUGACCACUGCACUUGUCUUAGCCCAGCCAGAUAUUGAAAAACCCUUUGAUGUGUAUUGUGACGCAUUAGGGAUUGGGAUAGGCUGUGUGCUAAUGCAGGAGGGUCGAGUAAUUGCAUAUGCUUCCAGACAGCUUAAACCCCAUGAAGAGAAUUACCCGACCCAUGAUCUUGAACUAGCUGCCGUAGUACAUGCAUUAAAGAUCUGGCGCCAUUAUCUGUUGGGAAACACAUGUCAUCUAUACACAGAUCACAAAAGCUUGAAGUACAUCUUUACUCAAGCUAAACUCAAUAUGCGCCAGCGAAGGUGGCUAGAAUUAAUCAAAGAUUACGACUUUGAGGUGCAUUAUCACCCUGGAAAGGCGAAUGUAGUGGCUGAUGCCCUCAGUCGUAAGGCCCACUGUAAUUGUUUAACAGUGACGCCUAGAGACAUAACUUUGUGCCAAGAGCUAGAGAACCUGGGGAUAGAAAUGAUUUCCCAAGGAAGCCUUGCCAAUCUAACGGUUGAUUUCAAUCUCGAAGCUCAAAUCAUAAAGGCACAAAAAGAGGAUAAAGGCAUGAAAUAUCUUAAAGAGAAAAUUUCUAAUAGAGCACCCACAGACUUUAAGGUGGAUGAUGCAGGAGUAAUCUUGUUCAAGAACCGGUUCGUGGUUCCAAAGGUACCUGAGCUACGUCAACAAAUCAUGGAUGAAGCUCAUACCACGAGGUAUUCUAUUCAUCCGGGAAGCAAUAAGAUGUAUCAGGACCUAAAGCAAAGGUUUUGGUGGACAAAAAUGAAGAUAGAAAUAGCCCGCUAUGUGGCCCAAUGUGACACCUGCCGAAAGGUCAAAGCUAUUCAUCUCAAAUCAACUGGAGAGUUGCAACCUUUACCUAUUCCAGCAUGGAAAUGGGAUGAUAUAAGUAUGGAUUUCAUAGUAGGGUGGCCCGAGACAGCUAAAGGCUUUGAUUCUAUUUGGGUCAUUGUGGAUCGUCUCACCAAAACAGCACACUUUUUACCUGUAAAAACAUCGUAUCAUACUUCCACCUAUGCUCAGAUCUAUUUUAAUUGUAUACUAAGUCUGCAUGGGGUGCCAAAGACAAUAGUGUUAGAUAGAGGCACACAAUUUGUCUCCCAGUUCUGGAAAUGCCUACAUGAAUCUUUGGGCACCAAGCUUUUAUACAGUACAGCCUACCACCCUCAAACAGGUGGGCAAACAGAGAGAGUGAAUCAAACCCUAGAAGAUCUAUUAAGAUCUUGUGCCCUGAAUUUUCCACAUAAGUCUGCUUGCCUCUAGCAGAGUUUUCUUACAACAAUAGCUACCAAGAGAGUAUCAAGAUGGCUCCCUUUGAGGCACUAUAUGGCCGUUGAUGUCGAACUCCACUACAUUGGUCGGAACCCGGAGAAAGAUGGUUCUUUGGGGUUGAUUUAGUGAAAGAGACUGAGAACAAAGAUAGACAAAUCCAAAAUAACUUGAAAGUUGCUCAGUCCCGACAGAAAAGCUAUGCCGAUAAAAGACGUCGACCAUUAAGGUUCGCCAAGGGUGAUCAUGUGUAUUUGAAAGUAUCCCCAAUGAAAGGAGUAAAUCGUUUUGGCGUUAAAGGCAAGUUAGCGCCCCGUUACAUUGGUCCGUUUCCAAUUAUUGACCGAUAUGGACAGGUAGCCUACCGCCUUAAACUGCCCGAACGAUUAUCCGGGAUACAUAAUGUAUUCCAUGUGUCUCAAUUGAAGAAGUGUCUUCGGGUACCAGACCAAGUUCAAGAUAUCGAAGAUGUGGAACUUGAACCGGAUCUGACUUACGCAGAAUACCCUAUCCGAGUAUUGGACCAAAGAAAUAGAGUUACUCGAAGAACAACUACCAAGUGGUACAAGAUACAGUGGAGCCAGCACUCUGAAGAGGAUGCCACAUGGGAAUCUGAAGAUUAUCUGAUGGAGAAUUUUCCGAAGUUCCAUGCUUCUCUUCAAGACAACAUCCAAUUAAUAGGGAGUGUACUCUAGUGAAGGAAAAGAGUAGUCAAAGUCAUGUACUUAGUGUACGUAUAUGAUUGAGUAGUCUUCCCCAGCUCCCUGUAUUAUGAGAAAGUUGAAGAUGAAAGAGUUUGACAAAUUUCCUUUUCCAUUACGUACCCUAAGGUUUUAAAUCUCGGGGACGAGAUUUCUUUAAGGGGGAAGGGCUGUAACAUCCCCGAUGUUACGGUUACUAAAAUUUGGAUCAUGUCAUCAUCAGCAUUGCACAUCAUAUUUAUUAAGCACACCCUGAUGCAUUAACUUAAGAUAAGUUUAAUUAGGUUGAAUGUGCUUAGGGAAUUAAAGUGUGUUUAUUUUGUGUAUUGAUGCUUGUGUUGGUUGCUAAAACCCUAGGGUGAAAGAUUUCCGAAAGAUUAGGGGGGGAACCCUGAUUUUUGAGCCCUAGAAUUGCCCCCUGUUGCACAAUUUAAAAACCAAGCAAAAUUUGAGGAUGAGUUCAAAAGCAAAGUUGUAGAUCUUGUCAAGAUGUACAACUUUGGUGUUUUGAGUUUUUGAGGUUUCAAUACAAAAUUCAAAGUAAUUUUGAAAAUGCAGAUUUCCAGAAAGUGUCCCCUUUUCCAAUUUGAACCUCCAAUUCAAAAUCUAUUUGGAAUUUUGAAAAGUGACCAACAUGAAAGUUGUAGAGCUCAAAAAGUUGAACAACUUUCAUGUUGCGAGUUUUUCAAGUUGUUUUGAAAAAUCAAAAGUAAUUUUGGAAAUUAUGAUUUGUCCCCAAUUCAAAAAUUUGAAUUUCCCCAAAUUGGUUUUUGAAUUUCAAACUGUUUUGUUAAAUUCACCAAGUUCCAUUCAGAAUUAGCCUUGGUCACCAACAGAUGAUUUGUAGCUUAUCAAAUUUUGCACAACUUUCAUUUUGGUGGCAAUUUGGCUUUAGUUCAAGUUUUGGCCGAAUUUCACAAAAAGACAGAGCAAGUGGAUAUGGAUUGCUACAGUGCUGAGCAGGGGGGGUGCUCUGCCGCCGGAGCAGAGCCGCCUUCGCGCGCGCCGCCACGCGCCUAGCCACGCAGCUGCUUGGCUGCGCGAGCCUGCCGUGAAGUGGACAAGUCCCUGGCGUGCUCAUCCACUCCCCUCGGUGCUCCCACUGCGCGGCUGCCUUGCUUUUCUUUUUUUUCGCCCGACGCCGACGACCUUGCUGCGACCCUAAAAUUCCCCUCGCCUGCUUCCCUUCCGAGCCAUCCGAGCACUCCCAUAGCUUCGCCAAGCUCGUAGCCAUCGAUUGCGCCCCCAGACACACGCUCUACCCUACUGUAGCUCCAACCCGAGCCAUUCCCCUCUCCAACUCCGGCCGAAGCGCCGCCGCAAGCACCUCGCCGUGGCCAGCCUUUCCCCGAGCUUUUCAACCGCCGCGUUCUACCUUGUCGGUGUCGUGGUGAGCCCCUGAAGCUUAUGCGUUGGUUGGUUCGUGUUCUACCCGCUUGUAGUGGCCGGUGCCCGCGCCGAUAGCCUCGCCGUCCGCCAUGGACGCGGGCAAGGGGCUUAGAGAGGGAUAGCGCUUGAUCUGAGGGUCCCAGAGUAUGCGCAAGGGGCCGUAGACGCUAAACCACCCCGCCACUGGAGCCGGAGGCUCACCGACGGCGUGUAGGAAGUCGGCCGAGCCGAUGACGGGAGGUAGGAGGAGGAUCUGACGGGCGGGACCCGCCCGUCAGCGACCGCCUGAGAGGGGGGAAACGCGCGCAGCGCCCGCGUGGGCCGAGCGGGAGCGGGCCGGCCUACAGGCCGGAUUCCUGGGCCGCUCGCGGCAUAGUUUUGUUUUUUUUUCUUUUUCUUUUUUUUGCAAUUUUUGAUUUAUGUUUGAUGUUGUGUAAUAAAUUAUGUGCUGCUCCAAAAAUGAUGAAAAUUUCUGUAUAGGUUCCAUGGAAUAAGUAGAACAUAAGAAAAAUAGUAGGUUUCCUUUUCUGGUAGUUUGCAAGUGUAUAAAAAUUGCCUCUUUUAUUUAAUGAAUAAAACUUCUAUGAAUUUUAAUAAUUUAGUGAUAUGUCCAAAAAUCACCAAAAUUUGUGGGAUGCCUCUGAAUAUUAUUCCCUGGCUCCACAGAAAAUUUGGUGGCAUUUGGAUAAGGUUUGAAUGAAAUAUUAUUAAACCCCUAUUUAGUAAUUAAAUAAUACUUCCAAAAUAAUUAGAUAAUAAUUAGUUAAAUUCUCAUAAUUAGGGUUGAGUGAUUUUGGGAUUGUGUGAUGACCUAAGGUCAUUAACCUUAAUGGCCUUUGGCAUUUAAUUAUUGUUUGGCAUUAAUGCUUAAUUACUGUCAUUAAUGAUUAAUUAAGAGUUAAUUAAGGUAAAUAGGAUUAAUAAUUAGUUAAUUUAGGAUAAUUAUGAAUUAAGAGAAACCUUAAUUUACAGAUGCAACCUCUUGGGUAAAGACACUAAGAUGUUAAACAACUUUACUUUUUAGUUAGUCUGUGUUGCACCGAGAAGACCAAUUAUACUUAAUUUGGUCCUUCUUACAUAUCUGUCAUACGCAUAUCAUGAGCAUCCAUCAUUUUGCGUAUAGUGCACGUGACCGAAGGAGCGACCGUUGAACCGAACCCCGAGGUCGGUGCUCCGUUCGAGGAAGUCGGAUCCGAGACUUGGGAAGUCUCCGAGGGUCCCUCUCUGCCCUGCAACCAAGGCAAGCCCCGGAUGCAUUAACCCCUCCUUGAAUGUUUUAAAUCCUUUAUCACUUAUGAAUUGAAAAUGCUGCAUUAGGUAGUUGAGAAUUGGGUUAACCUACUUGCUGCAUUUACUACCUUGAUAUCUGUUAUCUUGUCCUUGGCACCUGUUUUGUUUAAAACUGCGUAGUGAUGCUUAGCCCUGCUACUAGAUAGGUUUGCAAACAAGAAAGUUUGAAGGGUUGUUGUGGAAUACUCUUAUGGUCAAUGAUGUUUCAACUUGAGACCGGUCGGUGGACUUGCUUUAAGAAUGGAGUCUUAAAGUAGUGUCUCCAACUGUGUCGGUUAAGGACCGGUCCGUUGAUGGCCCGCUGGGUUGAGAACUUAUAGUACUAGCCACUUGCCCUCGGUAAGCCUGGUCCUGUGAUCCCUCGAUGCGAACAUCUACUCGCGCACUGGGCGUGGAGCGAUGGCGAGAGUAGUGUGUACCCACCUUACGGAUCUGAGAUGACCGGGAAACAUCUAGAUCGGCUGUAGGAUGGUGGAGUACUAUGCUCUCGGGUGCCACGAACCUGGUCAAAUUUGGGAAGAGCUUGAUUUGGGUUGACAUAUGCAAGAUUUGGUUCUACAUAUGUCGGGUGGUUAGGAACUCCAGCUGGAUUGCUAAGCGGUUCGAAUUGUCGUUGCUCCCCGAUUGGGAGACUCAAUCCACUGACCCUCAUCGUAGUUAAAUAUGCAACUAAGUGGUAAAAUGAGGAAAGGGGGAAAUGUCUCAUGAGGUUCGGAUCCCAAUUCCCGGACUCAGAGUGACAUGAAGCUAUGGCCGUUGGAUAAAUAAUACUUUGAUUAAGGACUAGGAACUUACAGACUUGUCUGUGGGAGGCAACUAGAUAGACUGUCCUCGAACUCCUCGACCUCUUAAGGAGAGGAAUUCGCGGGUAAAACUUGAAAGUAAGGAUGCACUAUUAGUAAGCUUUUUAGCAAAACACUUUGGCUCCUUGCUCAGCCACCCCUUGUCUACCCUAAGCCUGCAUCCCUAACUUCUCCUCUUUUCCGACCGGGUAAGUCUUGUUGAGUACUCCCGUACUCAGGGUUUUAUAACCCCUGUUGCAGGUGAAGCUCAGGAGCCGACCUGCUUCGAACCCUGUUGUGUGUCCGUCGUCGAGGUUGACGACGAGGAAGAGUGAGCGUGACCCAUGGGCAGGGUCUGUAAAUUUGUAAUCUCUGUGUUAAAGUUGAAGUUGCUCCGCUAGACCUGGCUUGUAAUAACACUCUGCUAUUUGGACGAACUCCUUUUGUAAAUUAAGUUAUGUAAUACUUCCACUGUUUACUCUGAACUAUUAUUUUGAUCUUAUGUCGUCUGUGAUACUGCAAUGUCUUCGCAACGAGUGAUCCUGGUGUUAAGGUGGCCACUUGCUAUCCUGUAAAGAAGAGAAGAAGAAGUUCUCGUUAAUUGACCAUCGCUAGUGGUCAGGACGAGUUCACUUGAUACGCCACAGGUAGUUGUGGAAUGAGCGUCUAGUGAUGCUCAUCGGACUUCUAAAGUGGGAGGAUCCCCGACAUCACCGUCAGAGGUCCUCAGGACAAUGACAGGUGUCGGUGGGCCCAAACACUUAGAAGGUUCUGCCACAAGCUGCCUUCUCCUCAAGAAGACGGAGACGCUGAUCGGUCUUCUUCUGACAAUAGCAAAAAUAAGAAAAGAACCGCUGCAGCGCAUGAUGGGUAGGGCUACGGCGUCCACGACCGCUGUCCGGAGGAGGGACAGCUUCCUCUUGAGCAUCAUCAGCACCAGCAGCAGGAACAUCACCAGCGGGAGUAGCAGCACCAGCAGGACUGAGAGGUGGAGCAUGAGGAGCACCCAAGUGCUUGGCACGAACCGGAGCAUGAGCACAAGGGUCGGAGAACUGCAUUCCAGAAACUUGCUCAAUGAUAUGCAUCAGAUAGGGAGCAUAGGGCAAAUACUUGUGAGGAUCAACGGACGCAUCCACAAUCUUGUUCCACAUGAAGUCCGAGACACCAAAGCGGCCACCAUUAGCACCAAAGCGAGCCAAGAUCUUGGAAGCAUCAAGACGAAGGUGAAUAGAAUCUCCAAACUUGGGGUCAAUGGUUGAUGCGACACGUUGUCCCGAUCUUCACGACGUAGGAUGAACACUGAUAACUAGCUGAAGAACAGCCGGAUAACUUGCUGCAAGCAGCGAUAACUAGUGCAACCUAGCAAAUAAAACUUGAAACCAACCACCGUCUUUAACCGGCAACCUGAAUUGAGGAUUCGCCCAACCACACUCUCGAGGAACCAACCAACACAGCCUACAAUCAAUCAAGGAAUACCUUGAAGGGAGUAGGAGCACCAAUUGGGAGCAGAUGAAGCCGCUGCCUAUGUAAUCCCGCGAGGAAAUCACAAGAGCAAAGGGGUAUUUAUACUAGCAAUGGCCCUGCUAGAUAGGUAUGAAAACGAAAUAGAGUUUAUGAGGGAAGGCAAUGUGAAAGGUCCCCUCGAAAUGGAUUCCCGAAGUGGCUUCGCGUGACUGUUGGCCUCCAGAGCAGUUUCCAAUAAACUGACCAUAAGUUUUUAUUAGGAAGUCCAAAUGAUGAACCGUUUCUUGGGUGUGAAACUAGACUCAAAGGGCUUUCUAGCAAUGUAUGCCAACCAGCACGAAACGUUGUAGAUUGGUACAGUUUUACUUGGCAAGUUGUACCAACAUUCUGUCACGACAGACUGUUGACCUUCUGAGCAGUCUGAACAAAUUCUGGUCUGCAGGCAUUUUGGAGUAUCCAAACUGGUCGCCACUAGAUUCAUUGGAAAGUAGACUCGUCAGGCUUUCCAACAAGUGCUCAUGGACCUUUAUAGCUUUUGUGAGUAAAAAGUUAUGAAGACUCUUUGCACUGGUCCGUUUUUGACUUCCACUGGUCCGUUUUUGACUUCUUCUGGAACUUGCACUGGUCCGUUCUUCAUGGUCCGAUUCUUCCUUCUCUUCUUCUAUAUACCUGAGUACAAUCAAGGUACAACACUUAGGUAGUAUAUAAUUCUCAUUAAUGUUAAAAUAAACCUCACAAAGUAGCGCGUGGACCUCUUGUUGUAGCUUCUUUGCACGACUACGUGUAAUCGGUCCAUUGAUGACUUGAGCUGGUGUCAGUGUAGGUGAAACUUGAGUGGGUGUAGCUUGACUUGGAGCUUGUGACAUCUUGCUUGGUGGCAUGGUCAUAUCAUCCUGCCCCCUUGAAAAAGAGUCAUCCUCGACUCUAAAGUGUCUUCACUUGUGAAUGGUGAGAGAUCAGCAACAUUGAAGGAGUUGCUCACACCAUAACUUGCAGGAAGAUCAAUCUUGUAUGCAUUGUCAUUGAUCUUCUCAAGAACACGAAAGGACCAUCUCCUCGUGGCAGCAAUUUUGAUUUGCGCUGCUGAGGAAAACGAUCCUUGCGCAAGUGUAUCCACACCAAGUCCCCGGGUUCAAAUAACACCUUCUUCCUAUGUUUGUUCAUACUUGCAGCCUUGCAUCCUGCCUUGAGUUCAAUUGCUUCCUUGGUCUUCUCGUAUACCUUCUUGAUGUAUGCAUCACGCUUGGAGGCUUCCAUAUUGGUUCUUUCCUGUAAUGGAAGGGGCAACAAAUCUAUCGGAGCAAUAGGUUUGAACCCAUAUACAAUUUCAAAAGGACACAUAUUAGUGGUAGAGUGCACUGCCCUGUUAUAUGCAAACUCCACAUGUGGCAAGCAUUCCUCCCAAACCUUCAGGUUCUUUUUCACCAUAGUUCGCAGCAACAUUGACAAUGUGUGAUUCACCACUUCAGUUUGUCCAUCGGUUUGAGGGUGACAAGUGGUGGAGAACAAAAGCUUGGUUCCGUGCUUUGCCCAUAAUGUUUUCCAAAAAUAGCUCACAAACUUGACAUCACGAUCAGAUACAACGGUUCUAGGCAUUCCAUGCAACCGCACAAUUUCCCUGAAGAACAAAUUAGCAAUAUGUGAAGCAUCGUCGCUCUUGUUACAAGGAAUAAAAUGAGCCAUCUUUGAAAAUCUAUCAACCACAACAAAAAUUGAAUCUUUUUCUUUCUGAGUUCUAGGCAACCCCAAGACAAAAUCCAUGCUUAUGUCUUCCCAAGGAGUUUUAGGAGUAGGUAAAGGAGUAUAUAAACCAUGAGGGUUCAGUUUAGACUUAGCUUUGUGACAGGUAACGCAUCGCUCCACGAAUCUGAUGACAUCUCUUCUCAUCUUGAGCCAAUAAAAAUGAUCUUCUAGCAGCUCAUAGGUUUUCCUUUGUCCAGAUGAUGCGACACGUUGUCCCGAUCUUCACGACGUAGGAAGAACACCGAUAACUAGCUGAAGAACAGCUGGAUAACUUGCUGCAAGCAGCGAUAACUAGUGUAACCUGGCAAAUAAAACUCGAAGCCAACCACCGUCUUUAACCGGCAACCUGAAUCGAGGAUUCGCCCAACCACACUCUCAAAGAACCAACCAACACAGCCUACAAUCAAUCAAGGAAUACCUUGAAGGGAGUAGGAGCACCAAUUGGGAGCGGAUGAAGCCGCUGCCAAUGUAAUCCCGCGAGGAAAUCACAAGAGCAAGGGGUAGAGAUCACUCUCUGAAUAUUUGCUAGCACACAGCUAAACAAAAGCGGUUCUGUAUUUCAAUUAUCAAAAGUCAUUAGGUUCUGAAGAUCUUGUGUCAACCUAUCUUGCUUUUCUUCUAUGCUUUGUCGGAGUUCAUUAAAUUGUGCCAAAGUGACACAAUCCUCUAUUCCAUCACCCAUCUUCCUGUAAGGUUAGCUGAAUACAAAUAAUUUGUAUUUGUGGAAUAUGAAAAUUGGGUGGCCCUCACAACUCACCUCUCUAACCACCAAGGCUAUUAUGAAUUCCUCUGCUGCAGAUUAUAAGGAAAACAAAUGUGUGGUGGCAACUGAAAGUGAUGGCGAGGCGAAUACAAGAACAGAGAGUACCGAUUACGAUGGUUUUUUAUGUGGAUCUUGGUGGGGAGUAAUACACAAGGAAUGCAAUCUGAAUUCUAGUUGUUGUAAAGUUAAGUAACCAUCCAAACUAGAAGUUCUCUGCCUAGUGCUGGUCAAAAGAUUCGAAGUGUAUAAAUAGAUCACACACACGCAAAGAAAUUUCAGAAUUGAUGCAAACAAAGAGUAUGAUUGGGAUGCAAGUGUUGCAAUCAGACCCAACCAAAGUUUUGCACCAAACAAAGAUAGCAAACUGGUUGUAGAACUUGAUGAAACUCUCAGCACUUGUGCACAUAACCAACUAAUGUUUCAGACUUUCUCUCUGAACCUUUCUCAACUUUUUUUUUCACUUCACUUUUUUUUGCACUUUCUUUUCUUUCUUUUUUGACACACCUUUUUUUAUAUAUAUAGAACUAAAAACAGGGAUCAGAUUAUGAUACUUGCACAACUAAAGACAAAAAUAAAACAACAACUAGUAGCUAGAUAGGAUCAAAGUUAACACAAAGGAUGAUAUAGGCUAUAGAGAUUUUUUUGUGGGGAUUUUUAGAUAUAAAAGAGGUACAAAGAACACGCGAAGGAUAAAUGAUCAGCAACUAAAACAAAUACUCUAAUGGACUGCGACUUAACCGAACUCACUAAAAUAACAGAUUGAAACAAAGGUCUAAACAAUAUAUUUUUCUGGCUUUUUGGUAGAUAGGACGAAGCAAAAUAUAUAUGUAGCUAGGGAUAAAAUUCCUACCGUGGUAACGAAAGCUUUGAUACCAGAUGAUGCGACACGUUGUCCCGAUCUUCACGACGUAGGAUGAACACCGAUAACUAGCUGAAGAACAGCCGGAUAACUUGCUGCAAGCAGCGAUAACUAGUGCAACCUGGCAAAUAAAACUCGAAGCCAACCACCGUCUUUAACCGGCAACCUGAAUCGAGGAUUCGCCCAACCACACUCUCAAGGAACCAACCAAAACAGCCUACAAUCAAUCAAGGAAUACCUUGAAGGGUGUAGGAGCACCAAUUGGGAGUGGAUGAAGCCGCCGCCUAUGUAAUCCCGCGAGAAAAUCACAAGAGCAAAAGGGUAUUUAUACUAGCAACAACCCUGCUAGAUAGGUAUGAAAACGAAAUAGAGUUUAUGAGGGAAGGCAAUGUGAAAGGUCCCCUCGAAAUGGAUUCCCGAAGUGGCUUCGCGUGACUGUUGGCCUCUAGAGCAGUUUCCAAUAAACUGACCAUAAGUUUUUAUUGGGAAGUCCAAAUGAUGAACCGUUUCUUGGGUGUGAAACUAGACUCAAAGGGCUUUCUAGAAAUAUAUGCCAACCAGCAUGAAACGUUGUAGAUUGGUACAGUUUUACUUGGCAAGUUGUACCAACAUUCUGUCACGACAGACUGUUGACCUUCUGAGCAGUAUGUACUAAUUCUGGUCUGCAGGCAUUAUGGUUUAUCCAAACUGGUCGCCACUAGAUUCAUUGGAAAGGAGACUCGUCAAGCUUUCCAACAAGUGCUCAUGGACCUUCAUAGCUUUUGUGAGUAAAAAGUUAUGAAGACUCUUUGCACUGGUCCAUUUUUUACUUCCACUGGUCCGUUUUUGACUUCUUCUGGAACUUGCACUGGUCCGUUCUUCAUGGUCCGAUUCUUCCUUCUCUUCUUCUAUAUACCUGAGUACAAUCAAGGUACAACACUUAGGUAGUAUAUAAUUCUCAUUAAUGUUAAAAUGAAUCUCACAAAGUAGCGCGUGGACCUCUUGUUGUAGCUUCUUUGCACGACUACGUGUAAUCGGUCCAUUGAUGACUUGAGCUGGUGUCGGUGUAGGUGAAACUUGAGUGGGUGUAGCUUGACUUGGAGCUUGUGACAUCUUGCUUGGUGGCAUGGUCAUAUCAAUGGUGUAACGAAUCAGGUUAUUCAGUACAUAGAAAAAUGGCUUCAACUAAGUGGUCUUGAAAUCCGAAUGAGCUCCAGGCUUGUACAUUUCAGCAGCAUCGAGAUCAGCCUCAGAAAUCCCCUCAGCAAAGAUGUUAGACAGCCAGGGUGCAUCAUGAUCCGCAUGAUCAAAACCAAGCAAGCGAGAGAAGGUGAUAAAGUCAAGGCGAUAAUGAACACCUUGAGUCAUCCAAUGCAGCACCCUAGAAGCUUGAUCCACCCACAAUGUUGCCCAAAACUGAAAGAUGAUCUCUUCAUUCCAAUUCUUCUCAAGGGUCAUAAGGGGAAGGAUGCGCCAUUCUUCAAGCUUGUGAAUCAAAGCAUUGACCUCAAGGUGAUUGAAUUCUUUCAAGGACUUGAGGACCACAUACUUGUGCUGAAAUAGUGGACCAUUCUUGGUGACUUUGCUGGCCUUGUAGAUAACGGACUCAUAGAAAUCAUUGUGAAACUGUGACCAAAACCGCUCCUCAACUCCCUCAAACUUGAUAAACUUGUAUGGGUUCUCGCUGCGCUGAUUUCUUAAGUCCACAAGGUGCUUCUUGUAAGCAAUACCAAGCCAGGGUUGGGUGCCAGAGGGAAUAGAGGGCCUCCUUACAUGGGCAUUGAAUUGAGGAUGCCAUGAGAGAGUCCGGCGAGCACCAACCUCACUGAGAUGUAGGGGCGAUCGACGAAGGACAUUGGGGUCCAUGGCCCGUCCUUCCUCUUGCACAGGAUCAGGCACGGCUUGACUUCGAACUCUGUCACGGUGAGAGAGAGGCGGACACGGGACACUGUGGGUGUGAAGAGGGGCAGGAAUGCCUUCAUCACCGGUGGAAGCACCAGCCACACCCUGACCACGGGAAGGAGUCCUACGGCCACGCACUGCCCGUUCCGCAGACCGACCGCCAGCAUCACUGGAUCUAGGGCGAGCACCACGGGGAGGGUUCUUGCGCUUCCCGGAAUCCAUGCUGCAACACCACAAAGAGGGGCAGCAGAAGAGAUUAAAAGAAUGCACUAGAAUGCUGCAAGGAAUCGAUCAAGGCGAUGGGAGGAACUGCCUUGCUCGCAGGGGCCGGUACCACCGGCGGCACCGAUGAACAAGGAAAUUACCUCCAAUCGACCAAAUCAACCAAGGGAAAAGCGCAUACGACAUGCUAGAAGAAAGAAUACACUAAGAUCAGGAGUGCGAGGAGACGGCCUAAGAUAAGGUACAUUGGGAGAUCGGGCGAUUUCAACGAGUACCAUGCGUCACGGAGAAAAUGGGCCGAAUCCAAGCAACCCCAAGGGUCUUGGAGUCAACCAAGACUCCCCACGCGUCCAGUUGACACUUGCUAACACCACUUGAAUACUAGGUUGUCAUCCCCAGCAUGGCACUAGAGUGUACUAUGGUAUUUAUACGCACACAGAUAAUCCGCAAGCGCACGGAUACCGUUGUAGCUUUUACCUGGAUAAAGGUUUUAUCGUAUCCACAAGGAAACGGGAGAACCAACUACGCUCUAACUUAGCCAAGAUAGAUAGAUAAGUGUAAAUAGGAAAGAUGAUAGAAUUGAAUAAGAACAAUAUUAAAGGUAAGAUAAUAAUGGGUGAUAAUAGGGGAAUAGAGAGUUGAGCAAUCUAGUAUACGGGUGAUGGUAGCAGAAUAGAGAGAAUAACUGUGGUUUCUCUACUUCAAAGGGGUAUGUCUAUGUCUGGGACGAACCACGUGAUAAGAAUACACCACAAAAGAUGCUUAUCCAUAGGCCGAUAAACCCUACCCGUCCUGCUAACAGGAGGUGGACUACAGGGGACGAACGUAACUGUCACCUACGCGGCCUACCACACGAUCCAGCUAGACAGAGGAUAUCCACAAGUAAUCUAGGUCUAAGCACCACGCUUACACCUAUACUACAACUCUAACCUAUAGGGUCCUAUAGAUUAGAAGUACUCAAAAGAGUUAUGAACUAGAACAUACAUGAUUAGUAAUUGCAUAAUGAAUUAUAAGUAGAUUACCAGAGUCAUCCCAUGAGCAAGCUUGAUUAGAGCUUGAUCAUGGCGAAGUACAACCGGAGGAAGAACCGACAGGCCGGCCUCUCCUCCAAUCCUCCCUCGCUCUCCAUCUUGCUACUAUCUAGAUCUACUCUAGUUUAGAGAUGAGAGGAGAGCUCUCAUCUCCAAACCCUAGCUUUUGCUCUGUCUAUGAAUAAUGAAUAAUGAUCAAGGGGUGCCUCCUCCAGGGGCCAGGGGGGCUGCUUAUAUAGUCCCCUCAAGUGAAUCUGGGCCGUCAGAUCAAACCGACAUUGAUUGAACGGUCAUUUUUUGAUCCUUUAGGUCGGUGGAGCAUAAUCCCCGAAGAGAGUCCUGAUUGGACUCUGUAGUUGGGCGGGCGCCCAAGGGGGGAGGGCGGGCGCCCUGCCCCCGAGCCCGCUCGGUUUCCCGUUCGUUCCCAUGGCUUCUGGAGUCUUCUAGAUGAUAGAAAAUUGCGCGGCAUGUUAAUAUCUCUAUGUAAACCUGACGUGUAGGCCUUUCCUCCAUAUUUCCUGAUAACCCCCUACAGAAAUAGACAAACACCAAAACUCAUGGAAUUCUGUCAGAUAAAACCCUAAGUUUAGGUGUUGGUUGUAUUUGGAUCCUUUUCUUUGUUUAUUUGCUGAUUAUAUUUGGUACUUAAGGACCGUCAACAACUCCCCCAAGCUUACCUCUUGCUCGUCCCUGAGCAAGGAUGGACUCAAGAGUUUCUGCAGUGGUUUUAUGCCUUAAAGGUACACAUGCGUUCAAACAAGAUCUCAUCUCUGAGUUAAAGUAAACUGUUAAGACUUAAAACUUACUCAUUCUACCUUUCACCAUGGGGCUUGCAACCGUCACUUGUGUCUCGAGCAGUUAAAAGAUAGAAUAGUCAAGUCAAGCGCCAUGUCUCGUAUUCUUUGAUCAACUAUAGCUCUGGAGUUUUUGUAGAUUUUCAAAAUAAAACUCAGAGAUUCCUUGUAUGACUCUCUCUAGUCUCUCUUUUGUGGUAUGUCUGGAUCCUUACCAAGGCAGUGAUGAUAUAUGCCUUCUCUCAAAGUAUGUGGUAUUUUUGGUAUGAGGCAUAAUGAUAUUGCCUUCUCUCUCACCCUACUCUAACAAGGUUUUGAUAUCUGGAGCUCAUAGGUGGGAGACAACUAAUACAUACUUACAAGACAUUUAUUGCAUAGUCAAACCAUGGAUCCAGAGAAACAAGUCAAUAAGUCAAAUCAAGAUGUGCAUGUGUGGCGAAUGAAUGGUGUAUGGUGAUGAUGGUGAUAAUGGUGAAAACAAUGGUGAAAGUCUAAUUCUACUUUUGCCCUUUUGAGGGGAUACACACCUUUCUUGCACUUUAUAACUUUUUGAGGAGAAUGAGAUGCUCUAUAUUUUCUUUUUCUUUUCUCUCAGGUGGGUAUCUUGUACCCCUAAUUCUACUGUCGGACACUUGUCCAUUUUUACCUCUCGUCUCACUUUUUCUUUUCCUCAAGGUUUCGGGCACUUGCCCCUUUUUAUUUCCUCGUAUUCUUCCCUUUUUUCAGAGCACUCACCCUCCUAGAAUGAUGUUGCAAGUGGUAGUAACCAAAAUAUCUGGAGCAUUUAUUUCACGGGGAGUAACAGGGUAGGAUAAUCUUUUUGGCUAUUCUCUCCUGGAUAGGAGUAGAAUAAUUUUGGGUGAAUCUGGAGAUGGAAAGGAGUGGAUGUAUGUGGAUGCGUACUUUUGGAGUAGAGGUAGCAUGUAUGAGUGAACGUGCAAGUGAAUCUUGAUUUUGACCGCAUGACAAGCUCCUAAGGGUCUACACAGCUUGACCACACUCAAUGCUCAUAAGAAGUAAAAAGUGAAUGUAUGGUUCAUAGUCUAAUAAGCAUAUAUAUAUAUGGCUGUGGUAGGAUUUUAAACUCUCAUCAUAAAGGAACUCAUCAUGCAACAUUUUAAAUAUUUUCAAAGAUAAAAUUCUCCAUAAUUCUAGCAUCUCUAGGAACAGAUAAACAGCAGCUCAACCUUUCCAUAUCAUAUCCGUUAAUGACAUAGACUAUAGAUCAAGACUUCUUCCCACAAGUUCAGGUUUAGAGCAAAUCUUAAUUCAUAACAGUCAUACUUAAACUUGAGAGAGAUUUCACUUUUGAGAACUAGUCAUGGCAGAGCAACUAUUCAUCAUUUCCAUAUGAGAGCUUAUCAUGAGGGUUCAUAGCAAACUUUAUUUAUUUAUUUAUUUUGCAAACUAAGAAAAGAUAUAUAUAUAAGCAUAAAAUCUUUAUUUGGGUUUUUUAUGAUUAUGCAUCUUUUUAUUAUUUGAGUAAAGUAUAAACAUGAGUAGAAACACUUAGCUGGAUAAAUGGGGGUGCUCUCCCCCAAGCUGGAUUUUGACGUAAUUUCUUCUGAUGUAGCUAGCAGGUGGCGGAGGUGUAUUUGAAUGUCAGCAGCACCUAGACAGCGAUUAGGAUGUCCUCCGUUUGCUAGUCUUCUUUGAUCCUUGAAUUCUGUGGAGCUCAAAUAGACAACAAAGCUUUGUGGAACUAGUUAAGUGUUAGCAUAAAAUCUCUUCGCCUUUAUCAUGUUGAGCUUCCUCUAAUAAAUAUUACUCUCUUUGGUAGGAUCAUAAAUAUAUUUUUAUAUUUUCAUUUCUAUAGAACAGGAAUAUAUUUAUUUUAUUUUUACGCCACCACAGUGAAUGUACUUAUGGGUUUCAUGCCACGAGCAUACUCACAUGGGGCUUAGUAUUUUUAAAAUUUUUAUUUUCUUUUCAAGAUAGCAUGAUUAACUAAUAAGCUAUUUAAGGAAAGUAAGUAAUUAAAGGAAAAAGGGAAUGCAGAAAGGAUAAAUAUGGACAACUACCGAUUUUACCUUUCGGUGAGGGUUCAAUGUUGUAAGUCUUGUGAACAAGACUUCUCACCGUGUUCAUUCUUCAGGUGCGUUAUUUGAUUCAGGUGCGGACCUUGACGUCUUCUCCUCUUGAUACAGUGUCACCCAUGUUCUUCGUUUGCCCAGCAGUUCAAAGUGUGGCGUUGGCAGUAUCUUGCUCAGUGUGUUUGUGCUCGUAGAUCCAGGUCUUUCACUUGGUGGAAUCUGGGAGUUGUAAAACUCCACCAUGUUUUGCUCCAAGUGUACCUGCUCAUAGAGACGAGGCAGAGAUCAAGUGCAUGGGUCCUGUUGGUGGAAAACACCAAUAGAACCAAAAGUGUAUUUGUUUUUCUCUAAACCUAAGCAUAGUGAGCAAAACAAGGUUGAUGGAUAAUAAAAUCAUGAGUGUAGCAUUUAAAACAUUUGUCAGAUCAGAUGGCUCAACCUAAUGGAAAGAUAAUCUAUGUAUAUGUCUUUUUCUUUAUAUCUUGCCAAAGAUUGAAUGUGUAACAUUUUAGCUCAUAUGAUUAGGAGUGUGGGAUCAUGGAGGUAGUACUAGGAACAAAGAUUAAAGGACUAAGCAUGCUGAAUCAGUUGGGUUGGUUAAUUUGGAGUUAUAAAUCAUACAUGUUUGUCUCUUUAUUUAUGUGAAUGCCAGAACCAAGGAGAAGCUUAUAAAAGUGAUAUCCAGAUAAGAUGUUACCUUAAUUGAAGAGUGAUGGUACCAUCUCACCUUGUGGAAGCUUCCCAUUCGUAGUGGUUGUGUAUCUUGUUUAUGUACUUUGUCUCCUUCCAUGGAUCAUCUCUCUAUGAUGAAUGAGCUAUGUCCUUCUUGUGCAAAUUGUUAAACUUCAUAUGUCUCUCUCUUCAUCUCUGUUGUGAGUUUGUCUCAGGACUUCCCAAGUCGAUAUUGAAAGUUUUCCUGCAGGGGUUAGUCCAACAAAAUAUACCAAUGUCUACACAAGCAGUUUUUAGUUCAAUAACCGAACUAGACUCCAUGUCUAAUCAGAUUAAGAAAGGCUGUUUAACCUAAGCACCAUGCUUAAUUUAAAAGCCAAUAGAAGUAUGUGCAGUACUUCCAAACUAACACUUACUAGGAUAAACAAAGGUAGCGUGAUGGCAUUUAUAGAGUUCUACUCAAGUGGAGAUGAAGUAGUGUGAUUAGUAUUUAACAAAUUGAGCAUGUCUCAAAGGUAGGGACAACCAACAUAGCAACACGGCAAAGGAUGUUUUUAUGUACAGUACUCCCCCAAGCUUGAAUUUUGCAAAAUUCAAGUUUGGGUGAAUUUAAUUCAAUGUUGUAUGAUGAUUGGUUGGACAUACCUUGUGCUUGUCAUUCAUCCAAUCUUCUUGCUCCAAUCAUGGAAAGGUUAGUGACAAGAAUACCCGAAGGAAUAUUUUCACAAUUAUCCUUAUAUGCUCAAUACACAAGGUAAUGUUGCAAAUAAUUAAAAGCUCAUGUUACGAUCUAAUCAGUGCUUAUUUUAGGACACUAAGCUUGUCCUUGGGAAACCAUCAAUUUAUGUCGGCGAAGUGGUUUCCCUUCCAACGCUGACCUAUAUCAAGAUCAACUCAACGAGAUCUGCAAUAUUUAUUAUAGACAUAUGCAUCGACAACCGCCCUUUUAAAGUUUUUAUGAAUAGAAAGGAAGAGGGGGUUGGAGAUCUCAAAUGUGGUGAUGUUGGAGAGACCAAUAGAUUGGGAAGAUGUUGCAUAUGAGCAUGGAGUAAAUGAGGUGGCUAUGAAAUAAAUUCCAUGCUCAUUAAUGUUAUCUUCGUCUCCAAUCUGAAUGUUCGGAGUUUCUCCUAGAUUGGUCUCACCUAUGUCCUCUUCUGUAGUUGGAUGAAUCUCAUCUUCAAAGGGAGUCAAGAACUCACCAUUUGAAAUUGAGCCAAAGUCAGAAUCUAUUAAGGCUUCUUCCUUAUCCAUCCAUUCUACACAUUCUAGCCAUCUAGAACUUGUGAUCAGGAAAGGGGAGGUGUUAGAGUUUUCUAUAUGGCUUAGCUCUCCUUCACUUGAUAUGUCAUCCUCGACUUCUUCAUAACAGGAACCAGGACGUUCUCUAAGAGAACCAUUAUUGCAAGGACUUGGAUUAUCCCUGCUUGAAGGUUUCUUAUGGAACCAGAAGUCUAAACCAUCAGUAUCUGAAAGAUUUAAGGUCGGAAUUCCUUCCUCCCUUUAAGAAUUUUGGGGUAUUGAUGGUUUAGGACGAUAGCUAAAGUUUGGGAUUGAAGUGGUUGUGAUCUGGCUAUCGAAACUUUUUCUUCUUGUCUAGGAACUGGUUCUUUCUCUUUAUCAGGGAUAUAAAAGCUAGGAGACUUUCCGCUCAUUAAAUCAAUCAAAUUCCAAGCUUCACUAGCAGGUAGGUGAUAGAAGGAUCCUCUAGAGGCUGUAUUCAAGGUUUGCUUAUUUUCCCUACUAAGGCCCUCAAAAAAGUGAAUUAGAAGAACUUCUGGAAUAGAAAGCUUUGGGCCAGUGAGAGUAAGGUUAAUAAAGCGGUCCCAUGAUUUGCCAAGAGAUUCUUCUUCCAGUUGUCUAAAAGAAAUAAUCUCACGCCGAAGUUCCGUCACUUUAGAGAAUGGAAAAUAUUUUAAAAGAAAACUAUUAUGUAACUCCUUCCAAUCUCCAUGAACACUCCCUACUUUGAGUUUAUACCAAUGUCUAGCUUUUCCUAUUAAAGAGAAUGGAAAGAGCUUCUAUUUAAGGGUCUCAUCGGAUAUGCCUUCAAUGCGAAGGAGGUCACAGACUCGAUAAAACUCUCUUAGGUGUGUGUAUGGGUUUUCCUCACCUUCACCUGAGAAAGGUUGUUUUUGAACAAAUUCUAUGUAUUCGGGGUCUAUCUCAAAACUAGAAGCUAUGAUAGGCUUUGAAGAUUUUGGUGGUUCGAGAUGUGUGCCCAUAGGUCUAUUAAACUUAUAGAUAAACAUGUUUGUAUUCAUGAUAGACCAGAGAUCAAGGAUUAGAUAAGAAGAAAGAAUAACAGAGAUGAGGCAAAGUAUAAAAGGAAAAUAUUUUUUUAUUUUUUUAGAAAAUGAUUAAGCUAGUUCGUAGUCAACUCAGCAACCGUCUCCUCGGCAACGGCGCCAAAAAUGCUUGUUGACACUUGCUAACACCACUUGAAUACUAGGUUGUCAUCCCAGCAUGGCACUAGAGUGUACUAUGGUAUUUAUACGCACACAGAUAAUCCGCAAGCGCACGGAUACUGUUGUAGCUUUUACGCGGUUAAAGGUUUUAUCGUAUCCACAGGGAAACGGGAGAACCAACUACGCUCUAACUUAGCCAAGAUAGAUAGAUAAGUGUAAAUAGGAAAGAUGAUAGAAUUGAAUAAGAACAAUAUUAAAGGUAAGAUAAUAAUGGGUGAUAAUAGGGGAAUAGAGAGUUGAGCAAUCUAGUAUAAGGGCAAUGGUAGCAGAAUAGAGAGAAUAACUAUGGUUUCUCUACUUCAAAGGGGUAUGUCUAUGUCUGGGACGAACCACGUGAUAAGAAUACACCACAAAGGAUGCUUAUCCAUAGGCCGAUAAACCCUACCCGUUCUGCUAACAGGAGGUGGACUACAGGGGACCAACGUAACUGUCACCUACGCGGCCUACCACACGAUCCAGCUAGACAGGGGAUAUCCACAAGUAAUCUAGGUCUAAGCACCACGCUUACACCUAUACUACAACUCUAACCUAUAGGGUCCUAUAGAUUUGAAGUACUGUUGAUAUUUGGUAACGCAAUUAGAAAAUGAUCCGCAAGCGUACGGAUAUCGGUGAGCAUUCCACCCGGGAGGUUUUCCAGAGUAUUGUAUUUAUAUUUUUACCACUGGGAGAAAGGGUGCAUCUGACUAACCAAAUCUAUUGCUACUACCCCUUUAGGCUACAAAGAAUGUUUCUCGAUGUGAGCGAUGUAUAGAGAAGACUGCAACCGUAGUCUCGUUCUAACCUUGGUAAGGAUGAUCUACUGUUCUAUUUGGGAAGCUUACGGAAUCUAGACACCACAAAGGAUGUUCGACCCGCACCUAUAAACCUACCCGUCCUGCUAACGAGAUAUGGUCUGCAAAGGUAACUCGGAAAUGUCACGUUCCUCGCUACUAUCACGGUACAGCUAGUCAGGGGAUAUCUAUGAGUACCCUAGCCUAAACACCAUGUUUACGCUAGCAAUGAUUACUCUAAUACUCAACCGAAAGAGGAUUAAAGUAAACUCAUAAACCAAAGAACAAUAAAACAAGAACUUACUAGAAUUAGAAUUCGAAUUACUGAAGAAUCUUAGGAGCAAGCCUCGGGUUAGAAGACUUGAUCUCGCAGGUACAACUCAGAGUAGACACCGACAGGCCAGCCUUCCUCCAAUCUACACCUCCACUCUAUCUGUCUCAAUCUAGUAGAAACUAGAAGAUCUAUUUCUACUUACAUUGGUUGCUAAGCCUAAAAAGAAAUUCUAUUUAGAGAAGAGGUUUUCCUUCGAGGGCACCCCUCAACUCUAUGAUAAACUUCUUGUCUUCUCCAGGGGCCAGGGGGGUCUCCUUAUAUAGUCCUCCUCCUCUAUGCGUUUUUGGGUCGGUAGGCGAUGUGGUACUACGUUAUCCUUGAUCCUGUAGGUCGGUGGAACGUCGUGUGCGAAGAGAGUCCUGAUUGACAUCCAGGAGAGGGCGGGCGCCCAGGUCCUCAGGGCGGGCGCCCUGGGCCUGGCCCCUUUCGGCCUCUGCUUUCUUCCCGUGGCUUCUGGAGUCUUCUAGAUGGUAGAAAAUUGCGCGGUGCGUUGAUAUCUCUAUGUAAUCCCGACAUGUGGGCCUUUCUUCAUAUUUCCUGAUAACCCCAUGCAGAAAUAGACAAACACCAAAACUCAUGGAAUUCUGUCAGAUAAAACACUAAGUCUGAGUGUUGGUUGCAUUUGGAUCCUUUUCUUUAUUUAUUUGAUGAUUAUAUUUGGUACUUAAGGACCGUCAACAACUACCCAAGCUUACCUCUUGCUCGUCCCUGAGCAAGGAUGAACUCAAGAGUUUCUGCAGUGGUUUCAUGCCUUAAAAGUACACACGCAUUCAAGCAAGAUCUCAUCUCUGAGUUAGAGUAAACUGUUAAGACUUUAAAACUUACUCAUUUUACCUUUCACCACGGGGCUUGUAACCGUCACUUGUGUCUUGAGCAGUUAAAAGAUAGAACGGUCAAGUCAAGCGCCAUGUUUCUUAUUCUUGAUCAGCUAUAGCUCUGGAGUUUUUGCAGAUUUUCAAAUAAAACUCAGAGAUUCCUUAUAUGAUUCUCUCAGAUCUCUCUUUUGUGGUAUUUCUGGAUCUUUUCCAAGGCAGUAAUGGUAUAUGCCUUCUCUCAAAGUAUGUGGUAUUUGUGGUAUGAGGCAUAGUGAUAUUGCCUUCUCUCUCACCCUACUCUAAUAAGGUUUUGAUAUCUGGAGCUCAUAGGUGGGAGACAGAUAAUACAUACUUACAAGACAUUUAUUGCAUAGUCAAACCAUGGAUCCAGAGAAACAAGUCAAUAAGUCAAAUCAAGAUGUGCAUGUGUGGCGAGUGAAUGGUGCAUGGUGAUGAUGGUGAUAACAAUGGUGAAAGUCUAAUUCUACUUUUGCUCUUUUGAGGGGAUACAUACCUUUCUUGCACUUUGAAGUUUUUUGAGGAGAAUGAGAUGCUCUAUAUUUUCUUUUUUCUUUCCUCUCAGGUGGGUAUCUUGUACCCCUAAUUCUACUGUCGGACACUUGUCCAUUUUUACCUCUCGUCUCACUUUUUCUUUUCUUUGAGGUUCCGAGAACUUGCCCCUUUUUAUUUCCUCGUAUCCUUUCUCUCUUUUUAUUUCUUUUCUUCUUCUUUUUUUAGAGCACUCAUCUCCUGAAAUAAUGUAGCAAGUGGUAGUAACCAAAAUAACUGGAGCAUUUAUUUCACAGGGAAUAACAGGGAUAGGAAAAUCUUUUUGGCUAUUCUCUCCCGGAUUAGGAGUAGAAUACUUUUGGGUGGCUCUGGAGAUGGAAGUGAGUGGAUAUAUGCGGAUGCGUACUUCCGGAGUAGAAGCAGCAAGUGUGAAGCGCCCCUGGUAAACUAGGAACUCAAAUGUGAUACAAUACUAGUCCCAGGAGGCUAGUAACACAUUUAUUACAUCAGAUAAGUUUCAGCGCAGUAGUCUCGAUAAGCGUGGACAAUGAAGGCACGCUAUAAUAAUAAGACACCAAAAUACAACAUAGGUCCAAAGGACCCAGAAACAAACGAUAUCGCCAUUGAACAUCUGACGAGUCCCAAUGCCACAGGCUUAGUUGGGUGCAGACACGACCUUACUCGAACGCCACUUCGGGAUCGAAGUCCGGAUCUUCCUCUGUUUAAUAAAGCGAGGGUGAGUACAAAGUACUCAGCAAAUCCAACCUUACCCUACGGAAGGGGAUAACAGUAUAUAUGCAUAUGGAUAAAUCAAGGAUGAGGCUUAGUUUUAUUUGCAUAAAGCUAUCUUUUUACACAUGCAAGGUUUCAUUUCACAAAUACUGUUGUAAAAGAACUCUUUUUCCACAUAUGAUAGUAUUUCUGAAAAUGGGGGUUUGAUCACAAUUUUAAGUGUUGUUGAACCCUUGUUCCCACAACACAAUGGCAGUCAACCAUUUAUUUCCAAAAUCACACUCUCUCACAUGCUUUCACUCGUACCAACCCAUCUAGUUGUUGAAACCGAACCAUAACCCGUCCGAGACCGCGGACACGGCUAUCCAGAUAGAUUUACACUCUGCAGAGGUUGUACACUUUUCCCACAAAUAGGAUACCAUAACUUACACCGUCGUGCAAGCACAGAUCCAUCAAAGUCAUUACCCUCCAUAGCUAAGUAAUGGCGCUCACCACGGGAACACUAAGGCCACAUCUCCUGAUACCACAAUAAUUCACAAAGCUCUUUUCAUAUAUUUCCACAAUUUCACAUACAUCACUUAGUGUCCCGUUGCACACCUGCCUCCAGGUGAUUGCCAUACUAACUAGAGGGAUUUAGACUAAGCCUUUCCCAUGCAAGGCGAGUGGUUGUACGAUAAAUGAGUUAGGCAAGAUGAAUCAUCAACUCAGUCCUUAAUCGAGACAAGGCGGAUAUCUUCACGCUUAACCCCGCAAGGUAUAAGCCACAACACCAGGGCAUCCCCAAAAGAGAUCCCAUCCGCCCCAUCUCCAUAGUAAUCACAUCUAUAACUUGUUCAUUAACCCUUUCACAAUACCCACAAUUUAUUUUCACCACUCACACCUUUUACUUUUAAAAUCAUUAUAUUUGAUAAAAUAUAGCGAUGAGUAUCCAGGAUGAGUAAUAAGUCCUAAGCAUACUAAAUAAUAAUAUUUCUGUCAUAGCAUAUUAUUUGUUCCUAGGUUCGAACAAGACAAUUAUCGGGUAAUAUCAAUUCAAGGAUGGCUAUUCAACAGGUUUUAACUAAGCAGCGAAAAUACUUCGUACAUAUAUCGUACAUGCAAUAUUUAAAACGGCUUCUACGGGUUGUGUUUAAAAAUAGGAUCAAUAUGCAUCAAAGGGGAUCGGUUGGACUUGCCUCCGUCGGCGUCCUCGGCAAACUCCUGCUGACAGUACGGGUCCUCGGCGUCAAACUCGCGGUACUCGUUUCCAACGUUCUCGUUUUCCGGCUCGUUCACUCCGUCAACUAAAAUACGCGACGAACGACACAAACAACAGGCACAGAUAAAUAAUCAUAUAAAUUUAAAUGAGCUCCAAAAAUCAUGAAAUUAAUAUGGAAGGUAGAUCAUGAUUUUAGAUGAAUUUAGGAAAAAGAAUUAUUGAAAUCAGAGUUAGCAUGUGGCAUUUGUGAAAUGGCCGGAAUUUAAUCAUGCGAAAAAGACUAACGAUGAUUAAGGAAUGGAUGCUUCACGUGGGCAUUUGUUUGGCUGUUAGUGCAUGUUGCAUGCAUGCAUGUACUAUUUGGAGUUAAUGCUUGGCCCACACAUGCAUGGUUAGAGAGAAAUUAGCAGGGGUCAUUAGAACUCUUCUGUAUGUCAUGGUUCUAUUCGUGGAGUUCUUGGCAGUGAACCGGUACAGACAAAUACAUGGAAAAAAUACAGAAAAAAAUACUACAGAAAGACAGAGAAGAGCAAGGAGAUGCUCAUGAGCUGCUCACCUCGUCUUGCGACGACAGUCGAGCUCAGCUUGUGCGUAUGGCCGUAUACGGUAUACGCGAAGUGAGAGUGAGUGAGCGAGUGAGUGAACGUGUUUCUCGGGUGGUGAGAGUGAGCAUCCGAGGCUGGCUUUUUAUAGCCAGAGGAGUGAGGUUAUGCCUCUGGUGCUCAGCUUCGUGCCAUUAGAAUUGCUACUGUAGUGCAUGGCUACACAGGACGACAGGACGGUGGACGGUGCCUAAUUUUCAUGCAAAUGGCAAUGUCUCAUUUGCAUGCACGGUGCGUGCAAAUGGACGGUGCCUAAUCACCAUGUCCUUUGCAUGCAGGUGCAUGCAAAUGGACGGUGGCAUGCUUGUCCUGCAUGCAUGCAUGAGAUAUAUAUUCGUGUAGGUGCACUGCUAUGUUUUCUCGCAUGUAAGCUUGCUGGUACUUGCUAUCUUUUUGUACAACAAAAGAGGCGCGGGAAAAGGCAAGAGGUGGGGCCCGCAUGCCGCGGUGCGCGCGCGAGCGAGUGCGCUCGGCGAGGGGGCCGGGCGUGAGGGCGCUGCGGCGCUGAUGGUGGUGGGGUCGGCGCACGCGCCGUUGCCGGGUAUCGGGCAGAGCGAGCGAGCAAGAGGGAUAAGUAGCGGACAUAUGAUGCUCAUGCCAUGCGGUGCAGGUUAUAUUUAAAGAUGGAUAAUUAGAAUGGAUGGAAAAAGAAUUAGAUGGAGAUACUAUAGAGCUCAAAUGAUUUAUAGUUUUUGAAAUAUAUUUUGAAAAUAAUUUUUUUAAUGCGAGUGAUUUUUGAAUGAGAAUUUUUGGAUGUUACAAAGUGUGAUUGAACGUGCAAGUGAAUCUUGAUUUAACCACAUGACAAGCUCCUAAGGGUCUACACAGCUUGACCACACUCAAUGCUCAUAAGCAGUAAAAAGUAAAUGUGUGGCUCAAAGUCUAAUAAGCAUGUAUAUAUGGCUGUGAUAGGAUUUUAAACUCUCAUCAUACAGGAACUCAUCAUGUGAUAUUUUAAAGAUUUUUCAAAGAUAAAAUUCUCCAAAAUUCUAGCAUCUCUAGGAACAUAUAAACAGCAGCUCAACCUUCCCAUAUCAUAUCCAUUAACGACUUAGACUUUAGAUCAAGUACUCUUCCCACAAGUUCAGGUUUAGAGCAAAUCUUACUUCAUAACAGUCAUGCCUAAACUUGAGAGAGAUUUCAAUUUUAAGAACUACUCAUGGCAGAGCAACUAUUCAUCAUUUCCAUGUGAGAGUUUAUCAUGAGGGUUCAUAGCAAACUUUAUUUAUUUAUUUAUUUAGCAAACUAAGCAAAGAUAUAUAUAUAUAUAUAACAGCACAAAAUCUUUAUUUGGGUUUUCAUGAUUAUGCAUCUUUUAUUAUUUGAGUAAAGUAUAAACGCGAGUAGAAACACUUAGCUAGAUAAAUGGGGGUGCUCUCCCCCAAGCUGGAUUUUGACGUAAUUUCUUCUGAUGUAGCUAGCAGGUGAUGGAGGUGUAUUUGAAAGUCGGCAGCACCCUGACAGCAAUUAGGAUGUCCUCCAUCUGCUAGUCUUCUUUGAUCCUUGAAUUCUGUGGAGCUCAAAUAGACAACAAAGCUUUGUGGAACUGGUUAAGUGUUAGCAUAAAUAUCUAGCCUUUAUCAUAUUUAGCCUCCUUAAUAAAUGUUACUUAUUUAGCAGGAUCAUGCACUUAUUAUUUUUAUAUUUUUAUUGUAAGAUGAAAACUUAUUUAUUUUAUUUUUAUGCCACCACAGUGAAUGUACUUAUGGGUUUUAUGCCAUGAGCAUACUCACAUGGGGCUUACUAUUUUUUAACAUUUUUAUUUUCUUUUCAAGAUAGCAUGAACCUGAUUAACUAAGCAAACUAUAAUUGAAUAAUUGAAAGGAAAAGGAUAACUACCAAGUUUACCUCUUGGCAAGGCGUUCGGUGUUUUUAAGUCCUCCGAACGGGACUCCUUGAGUUUUUAGUUGUCCUGGGAUUCGCUAGGUGGCGUAGUCGGUGAUUCCGGCGGCGCCUCUUCUUCGUGUAUAUAUCUUCUCUCUCCACACCUGACUCGGUACUACAGUCUCCUCAGGAUAGUUCUGUUCAAGCUGUAUGUCUUCAGUCCUUAUCACCUCUCCUUCGUAGUCUACCCAUCCGUCCUUGAUGAUUUGUCUCCUCUGGUUUCGGUUGCGUCGCCUUCUUCUUGUCUGACCUGCUUAGAGUCUUCAACUAUAUAGUUAAGGUCAGUAAAAUAGCGGCGUACCUUCUCAGAUGGGAAGUGCAUGUGGACUUCUCUAGUUCCAAUAUAGAUGAUGGCUUUGAUAGUGUUGAGGAACGGUCUUCCAAGGAUGAUGGGUGGAUCGUACUCGUUUUCUCCUAUGUCAAUGACCUGAAAAUCAUUUGGAGCUGAAUGUAUAUUGGUUGUAGGGGCAUGGUUCCUUGCAGGAGCUAAUAAGUGACUGCGGCCAUUAUGUUGUCGUCAGAUCCGGUGUCAUAGAGUGUCUUCUGAAAAGAGUAUCCAUUGAUGGUGCACUCGAUGCUUGGAACACCAGGGUCGUCCUUCAUUAGGAAAGGCGACUUGAGUCGACGAUUUUGACCUCUUUGACUUGCAGUGACCAUCUUAGCUGACUCGGUCCAUAUUUGCUUGUUCCUGUUCCUCCUGUUGGUCCUCUUCCUUGGUUCAUGUCGGGAUUGCUCUAAAAUUUGUGUAGUCUUGUUCUUGAAGGAAAGUCUCCUUCUUCCCCUUGAUGUAGAAACUGAUCUUGGCAGUUUUAACGUAGAUGACAGCUCUGGUAUUUAGGAAUGGCCUCCCUAAGAUGAUGGGUGCCCUCUCCUCAGUACCAGUCUAUGUCACCACGACGUCUGCUAGAGCGUACAAGGUACCAACUCGGACGCAGGGGUUCUUCAAUAUUUCCUUUGGGAAACUGAGUGUCCGAUCUGCAACCCUGGGCAUAAUGUUGAUGCUAGAGCCAAAGUCGCAGAGUGCUUAUGGGAAGUCCACCAUGCCGAUGGAGAUCGGGAUGACGGGGCGUCCAGGAUCACCUCUCUGAGUAAUUAGGCCUCUGUUGAUUCCAACAUUGAUUUUGUUGAGGACGGAGUACACGUCCUCAAGCAUCUCAGGGCAGUGAUUGCCUGAGUGUCCAGUAUCUCCAGUGUGUUUGUGCUCGUAGAUCCCGGUUCUUCUCUUGGUGGAGUCUGGGAGUUAUAAAACUCCUUCAUAUUAUGCUCGAAAUGUUCCUGCUCAUAGAGACAAGGUAGAGAUCAAGUGCAUGGGCCCUGUUGGUGAAAAACACCAACAGAACCAAAAGUGUAUUUGUUCUUCUCUAACCUUAAGCAUAGUGAGCAAGACAAAGUUGAUAGGAUCAUGAGUGUAGCAUUUGAAACAUUUGUCAGAUCAGAUGGCUCAACCUAAUGGAAAGAUAAUCUAUCUAUAUUUAUGUUUUGUUUAUAUCUCCCAAAGAUUGAAUGUGCAACAUUUUAGCUUAUAUGAUUAGGAGUGUGGGAUCACGAAGGUAGUACUAAGAACAAAGAUUAAAGGACUAAACAUGUUGAAUCAGUUGGGUUGGUUAAUUUAGAGUUAUAAAUCAUACAUGUUUGUCUCUUUAUUCAUGUGAACGCUAGAACCAAGGAGAAGCUUAUAAAAGUGAUAGUCAAGUACCUUAAGGUGUUACCUUACUUGAAGAGUGAUGGUAUAGUAUCAUCUCGUGGAAGCUUUCCUUUCUUAGCGGUUAUGCAUCGUGUUUGUGGCACUCUCCAUAGAUCAUCUCUUUAUGAUAAAUGAGCUAUGUCCUUCUUGUGCAAAUUGUUAAAUUUCAUGUGUCUCCUUUAUCUCCAAUGAGUUUGUAUCUCAGGACUUCCUAGGUUGAUAUUGAAUGUUUUCCUGCAGGGGUUAGUCCGACAAAAUAUACCAAUGUCUACUCAAGCAGUUUUUAGUUCAGUAACCAAACUAGACUCCAUGUCUAAUCAGAUUAAGGAAGGCUGUUUAACCUAAGCACCAUGCUUAAUUUAAAAGCCAAUAGAAGUAUGUGCAGUACUUCCAAACUAACACUUACUAGGAUAAACAAAGGUAGCGGGAUGGCAUUUAUAUAGAUCUACUCAAGUGGAGAUGAAGUAGUGUGAUUAGUAUUUAAUCAAUUGAGCAUGUCUCAAAGGUAAGGACAUCCAACGUAGCAACAUGGCAAAUGAUGUUUUUAUGUACGGUAUUUCCCCCAAGCUUGAAUUUUGCAAAAUUCAAUGUUGGAUGAAUUUAAUUCAAUGUUGCAUGAUGAUUGGUUGGACAUACCUUGUGCUUGUCAUUCCUUUGAUCUUCUUGCUCCAAUCCUGGAAAGGUUAGUGACAAGAAUACCCGAAGGAAUAUUUCUACAAUUAUCUUUAUAUGCUCAAUACACAAGGCAAUGUUGCAAAUAAUUAGAAGUUCAUGUUACGAUCUGAUAAGUGCUUGUUUUAGGACACUAAGCUUGUCCUUGGGAAACCAUCCAUCAACUCAACGAGAUCUGCAAUAUUUAUUAUAGACAUAUGCAUCGAGAACCGCUCUUUUAAAGUUUUUAUAAAUGAAGAGGAAGAGGGGGUUGGAGAUCUCAAAUGUGGUAAGGUUGGAGAGACCAAUUGAUUGGAGAGAUGUUUUAUAUGAACAAGGACUUGAUGAGGUAUUUAUGAAAUAACUUCCAUGCUCACUGUUGUUUCUCUCAUUCUCAAACUCCAAGGAUGAUUCUUCAUGAAUGCUUAAAAUUCCUCUAGGAUUGUCUCUCAAGUUUGUUUUAUCUAUCCAUUCAACGGUGAUAGCACAUGGAUUUUUAAUGCCCUCUAGCCACUGAUGUUGCUCUUCUCGAUCCUCCUUGUGGUCUUGGUGACUCUUAUGAAUGGGAUGUCUAGAGAGAUUCAUAGGAUCAUCGGGAGGUUCAAGAGAAAGAGCGUAGUAGAAAUUAUUAGGCUCAAGGAUGGGUUGGAUAGCCGAAUCAUGGGUUUGGAAUGUUUGGAAAUCGGCUAUUGAAACUUCCUUUCCUUGUCUGGGAGACGAUUCCUUCUCUAUCUCUAAGAUUUUUUCUAUGAAGACUAGUACAAGAAGGAUGUCCACGAAUGAAGACAUACCUUCCUUUACUAAUAGAUAAAGAAAGAAAGACUCUACCAAAGAUUAUAUGAUUAAGACCAAUGUGAAAAUAUCUAGGAAAAACAUGGUCUUGUAGGGCUAGGUCUAAACCAGAAUUUAUAGGAAGAUUAACAGAUUCCCUAGGUGUAGCUAAAAGUGCAUUAUCUUUUUGAUUAAAAGUUAGGACCUCGGCUAUGGAAAAGGGUUGGUUUUGACCUAUUGCAAUCAACUCCGGACACAGAUCAUAAUUAGGGGCAGGACUUCUUGACUCCCAUGGUCUAUGGCUGGUCUCCGAAGGUGCAAAGAAUUCAAUAAUAGGUAUGGAAUUUGAGUUAUCCAUAAAGAUAAAAGUAAAAAGAUAAAAGAAUAAAAGUAUAAAAGUAUAAUACAAGAUAAUAGCAAGAUUCAAAGUUAUCUCAGCAAACCGUCUUUCUCCCCGGCAACGGCGCCAGAAAUGCUUGUUGAUAUUUGGUAACGCAAUUAGAAAAUGAUCCGCAAGCGCACGGAUAUCGGUGAGCAUUCCACCCGGGAGGUUUUCCAGAGUAUCGUAUUUAUAUUUUUACCACUGGGAGAAAGGGUGCAUCUGACUAACCAAAUCUAUUGCUACUACCCCUUUAGGCUACAAAGAAUGUUUCUCGAUGUGAGCGAUGUAUAGAGAAGACUGCAACCGUAGUCUCGUUCUAACCUUGGUAAGGAUGAUCUACUGUUCUAUUGGGGAAGCUUACGGAAUCUAGACACCACAAAGGAUGUUUGACCCGCACCUAUAAACCUACCCAUCCUGCUAACGAGAUAUGGUCUGCAAAGGUAACUCGGAAAUGUCAUGUUCCUCGCUACUACCACGGUCCAGCUAGUUAGGGGAUAUCUAUGAGUACCCUAGCCUAAACACCAUGUUUACGCUAGCAAUGAUUACUCUAAUACUCAACCGGAAGAGGAUUAAAGUAAACUCAUAAACCAAAGAACAAUAAAACAAGAACUUACUAGAAUUAGAAGUCGAAUUACUGAAGAAUCUUAGGAGCAAGCCUCGGGUUAGAAGACUUGAUCCCGCAGGUACAACUCGGAGUAGACACCGACACACCGGCAUUCCUCCGAUCUACACCUCCACUCUAUCUCUCUCAAUCUAGUAGAAACUAGAAGAUCUAUUUCUACUUACAUUGGUUGCUAAGCCUAAAAAGAAAUUCUAUUUAGAGAAGAGGUUUUCCUUCGAGGGCACCCCUCAACUCUAUUGUAAACUUCUUGUCUUCUCCAGGGCCAGGGGGGUCUCCUUAUAUAGUCCUCCUCCUCUAUGUGUUUUUGGGUCGGUAGGCGAUGUGGUACUACGUUAUCCUUGAUCCUGUAGGUCGGUGGAACGUCGUGUGCGAAGAGAGUCCUGAUUGGCAUCCAGGAGAGGGCGAGCGCCCAGGUCCUCAGGGCGGGCGCCCUGGGCCUGGCCCCUUUCGGCCUCUGCUUUCUUCCCGUGGCUUCUGGAGUCUUCUAGAUGGUAGAAAAUUGCACGGUGCGUUGAUAUCUCUAUGUAAUCCCGACAUGUGGGCCUUUCUUCCAUAUUUCCUGAUAACCCCAUGCAGAAAUAGACAAACACCAAAACUCAUGGAAUUCUAUCAGAUAAAACCCUAAGUCUGAGUGUUGGUUGCAUUUGGAUCCUUUUCUUUAUUUAUUUGAUGAUUAUAUUUGGUACUCAAGGACCGUCAACAAGUUCUCAAAAGUGUUGUGAACCAGAACAUACAUGAUUAGUAAUUGCAUAAUGAAUUAGAAGUAGAUUACCAGAGUCAUCCCAUGAGCAAGCUUGAUUAGAGCUUGAUCAUGGCAAAGUACAACCGGAGGAAGAACCGACAGGCAGGCCUCUCCUCCAAUCCUCCCUCGCACUGCAUCUUGCUACUUUCUAGAUCUACUCUAGUUUAGAGAUGAGAGGAGAGCUGUCAUCUCCAAACCCUAGCUUUUGCUCUGUCUAUGAAUAAUGAAUAAUGCUCAAGGGGUGCCUCCUCCAGGGGCCAGGGGGUCUGCUUAUAUAGUCCCCUCAAGUGAAUCUGGGCCGUCAGAUCAAACCGACAUUGAUUGAACGGUUAUUCUUGAUCCUUUAGGUCGGUGGAGCAUAAUCCCCGAAGAGAGUCCUGAUUGGACUCUGCAGCUGGGUGGGCGCCCAAGGGGGUAGGGCGGGCGCCCUGCCCCGUGACCGCUCGGCUUCCCGUUCGUUCCCGUGGCUUCUGGAGUCUUCUAGAUGAUAGAAAAUUGCGCGGCACGUUAAUAUCUUUAUGUAAACCCGACGUGUGGGCCUUUCCUCCAUAUUUCCUGAUAACCCCCUGCAGAAAUAGACAAACACCAAAACGCAUGGAAUUCUGUCGGAUAAAGCCCUAAGUUUAGGUGUUUGUUGUAUUUGGAUCCUUUUCUUUGUUUAUUUGCUAAUUAUAUUUGGUACUUAAGGAACGUCAACACGUCCCUCACGGCCGAGGCUAGGACUCCUCGAAGAUCGGGCGAAGAAGAUGAAGGAGCCGAGAGAUCGAGGCAAGAAAGCCGCCGCUGCCGCCGGGAGAAAAGAAGAGAAGAAGGGUCGGGCGGGUACGGAAGAAGGAGAGAGGAGAAAUAACCGCGGGGGCUUAAAUACCACAGUCAAAAGUGAACCACGAGUACUACCGGCCCAAGGGCCGGUACCACCGGCAAGCUAGAGAGGGCCGACUGAGGUUUUGCGGGAAUUUGACCUACCGGUGCUACCGCGCUUUGGCCGGUACCACCGGCUGGAGCCGGUACCACCGGGGCUAGGUGCCGGUACCACCGGCAGGACAGGGAACAACACAAGUGAACUUAAUGUGGCAAACUUAGAACCAAAUCAAACAUGGCCAGAUUUCAUCAAACCAUUUCAAAACAAUGGCCAUGCUUGAGAUGUGAAAAAUAGAUUUUGAUAUAACACUCAAUUUUUCAUAAAGUUUUGACCUUUCUAAUCAAGCAAGUAUGUGCAAGACAUCAAGCCAUGUUACGAGAAUCAACGAUAUUUUGUUCACGCCUGAAAGCACAAAAUCUUGACUCAUCUAGAGGUUUAGUGAAGAUAUCGGCUAACUGAAAUUUGGUUCUCACAUGUUGCACAGCGAUAUCUCCUUUGGAUUUUGUAAGUGCAUUGGUGUCUUUAUGGGUUUGGCCUUGUCCAUGUCAAACUUCUUUAGCAUGUCGGUGGUGUACUUGGUUUGACUUAUGAACGUGCCGUCCUUGAGUUGCUUGAUCUGAAAUCUAAGGAAGUACGUCAACUCCCCCAUCAUGGACAUCUCGAACCUUUUGGUCAUGAUCCUACUAAAUUCCUCACUGAAGUCCGCAUUAGUACUACCAAAUAUAAUGUCAUCGACAUAUAUUUGUCAUAUAAAAAUAUCAUUAUUGACUUUGUGAGUAAAUAAAGUGGGAUCGGCUUUUCCAAUCUCAAACCCUUGUUUGAGUAGGAAAUCCUUGAGACAAUCAUACCAAGCUCUAGGGGCUUGCUUAAGCCCAUAGAGUGCCUUGUCCAGCUUGUAGACAUAAUCGGGAUGAUGUGGAUCUUCAAAACCCGGCGGUUGCUCCACAUACAAGGUUUCAGAGAGGGGGCCAUUGAGGAAUGCACUUUUCACGUCCAUUUGAAACAACUUGAAAUCAUGGUGAGCAGCAAAGGAAAGUAAUAUGUGAAUAGAUUCAAGCCUAGCUACAGGUGCAUAAGUCUCCCCAAAAUCCAAACCUUCGAUUUGAGUGAAACAUUUGGCAACCAACCGAGCCUUGUUUCUAGUGACCACGCCAUACUCAUCUUCUUUGUUGCGGAAGACCCAUUUGGUUCCUAUCACAUUUUGCUUGGGUCUUUCCACUAAGGACCAGACUUCAUUCCUAGUGAAGUUGUUCAACUCCUCUUGCAUAGCCAUCACCCAAUCCGGAUCCUGUAAGGCAUCUUCCACCCUAUUUGGCAACAUAGAAGAGACAAAAGAGUAAUGUUCACAAAAACCAACUAAACGAGAGUGUGUUGUUACCCCUCGUUGUAUGUCUCCCAAAAUGCUAUCAACGAGACGAUCCCGUUGAAAAGAGUGAUGAACUCUGGGUGAGGCACUGUUGUUCUUGUUUGAAUGGGACCAUCAUCUUCAUCUUCAUGGUCUUGGUUGAUUGAAGAAUCGAGAUCUUGAACGUUUUGAUCUCCAUCUUGGUUUGGUUCUUGUGCUUGAGGUGGAUCUUGUCCAACUUGUUCUCUUGAGUCAUGACCUCUUCUUGAUGUGGAAGCAUCACCAUGGGCAUUGGUUGACCCAUGAUGCAAGUUUGGGUCACGAGAAAUUUGCAUGUGUGCAUCAUCUUCUUCUUCUUCAACGGGUUUCACUUCACCGGUAGCAAGCUUUUUGAUUACUUGGCGAGAUGGCUCUUCUUUACCUAGAAUUUCAGCAUUGACUUGCUCCUUUUGAGAGCCGUCACUUUCAUCAGAAGUCACAUCUACCGCUAUUUCAAUUUCACCGGUGGUCUCAUUGAAAACACGAUAGCCAUGUUGAUUAGUAGUAUAACCAAGUAAGAACCCUUCAUCAACCUUUGGUGCGAACUUAGAGCUUUUGGAUCUUUUAUUAAGUAUGGAACACUUGCAUCCAAAAACUCUAAAUUAAUCCACCUAAGGCUUUUUACCGGUUAGAAGCUCGUAGGCAGUUUUCUUCCUCAACUUGUGGAGGUAUAAGCAGUUGAUGGCGUGACAUACCGUGUUAACGGCUUCCGCCCAAUAAUCCUUUUCGGAGAUCUUGUAUUCAUCCAACAUUGCUCUUGCGGCUUCAAUGAGUGUUCGGUUCUUUCUUUCCACCACACCGUUUUGUUGUGGAGUAUAUGCAACCGAGAACUCAUGCUUGAUGCCUUCUUCAUCAAGGUAUGCUUCAAUGUUGGUGUUUCUAAAUUGGGUCCUGUUGUCGCUUCUCACUUUCUUCAUCUUCACUUCAAACUCAUUUUGAGCCCUUCUUGCAAACUUCUUGAAGAUCCCUUGAGUCUCACUCUUGUCCUUCAAAAAGAAUACCCAAGUGAAGCGAGAAAAGUCAUCAACAAUUACAAAACCAUAUUUGUUACCUCCAAUGCUUAUGUAAGCAUUGGGUCCGAACAAGUCCAUGAGAGGUAGCUCAAGUGGUCUUGAUGUAGUCACAAUGUUCUUUGUAGGAUGCUUAGCUCCAACUUGCUUUCCCUCUUGACAUGCACUGCAAAUUCUAUCUUUCUCAAAAGAAACAUUCGUUAGUCCAAGGAUGUGUUCACCUCUUUGAAGAUUGGCCAAGUUCCUCAUCCCAACAUGGGCUAGACGGCGAUGCCACAGCCAGCCCAUGCUAGAUUUUGCCACUAAACAAGUCUCGGACCCACUCUACUAGCUGAGAAAUCAACUAGAUAGAGCUUGCCCUUUAGUUGACCCGUAAAAGCAAUAGAGGAAUCCGACCUUCUAGAGACUUCCACACCCUUAUCCGUAAAGAGACAAUUGUAACCCUUCUCACAAAGUUGUGAGACGGAUAACAAAUUGUAUCCCAACGAAUCCACAAGUAAAACAUUUGAAAUAGAAUUAUCAUUUGAAAUUGCAAUUUUUCCUAAACCAAGGAUAUCUCCUUUACUAUUGUCACCAAAGACAAUCCUUUCAUUUGUGAUUUUACUUGGUUGAAAGGAGGUGAACAUGUUCUUCUCUCCGGUCAUGUGAUUGGUGCAUCCACUAUCAAGCACCCAACUUGGCCCAUCGGAGGAAUAAACCUACAAGACAAGAUUAAGCCUUUGUUUUAGGUCCCAAGUUGGAACCUAGGGGGUUAGACACAUAAGAUUUGGGCACCCAAACACUCCUCAAGAUUUGUCUCUUCUUGAGGGCACCCACAUACUUCACAACAAUCUUGCCAUCCUUAUCCCAACAACACAUGUAAUCACAAAUAUGAUUACGUGUGAUAGGCGCUUGUUGCUUGGGCACUUCCCCUUGCUUCUUCUUGAUGUUCUUGUUGUUUGCAAGUGGGAUUGUAGGAGUGGCAACAUUGUUCACCUUGUCAAUAAGGUCAACAAGAGGCAAACUCUUGUUGAACUUCACACAAGCCACCCCAUUUAUCAUGUUUCUCCCAUUGGCCUUACCAUUGUACCGAUUAUAUCCGAGGCCAUCCUUGAUUAUGGGGUGCCUUGAUGCCUUGAACACAUUUACCGGCUGCUUGUCCUUGCACUUGCAACCAAUUUUGACAAUAGUGUUCAGUCUUUGAAUUUCAUUGUCCUUCUUGGCUAACUCAUCAAGGUUAGUGACACAUGCAUUUAUGUCAACAUUUAUGCAUCUUUCACAGCUUUUACUUGUAGAAGCCUUUGAAUCCUUGGAAGCGGUAGAGGUGCUAGACCAAAGCUUUUCAUAGUUUAGUUCAAGCUCAUGAUAUUUUGUUGUCAAGCUUGUGAGGCUUUCUUGAGCCAAACUAUGAUCAUUCUUUAGGCUAGCCAAAGAGCCAUUGAGUGAGGAAUGUUCCUUAGUCAAUCGCUCAUUGGAGUCUUUGACUAGAGACAAUUCUACACCCAAUUUAUCAACCCUCUCCUUUUCCUUGGAGAGACAUACUUCGAGCCCAUGGUUCUUCUCCCUUUCCUCUAGAAGCAAUUCUCCUUGUGACUCGAUGCAUGACUCAAGCUUGUCAUUAGCGUAUAUUAGCUUUAGAAUUUUAGUUGCAGCAGUUUUACCAUAUUUCUUAAUGAGAUUAUUAGCAUAGUUUUCAUCAUCUUCAUUAUCACUAUCAUAAUCACUAGUGGUUUGAGGAGAGGAGUCAGUUUGUACCUUGUCUCCUUUUGCCAUAAGGCAUGUAGGAGAGUCAUCAUCGUCAUCGGAGAGAUUGGCGAAGAGCCUAGGCGAUGAGUGGGUGUCGGAGAUGAGUGUUGUGGAUGAGGCGAUGUUGCUGAAGAUCUUGGUUGGGGAGGAUCUUUCUUGUACGGCGAUGGCAGCUAUACUCUUCUUCUCAUUGUCAUCAUCAUCACUGUCACUGUCCGAUUGCCAUUCUUGCCCGAGGUGAGCUUCUCCUUUCUUCUUGUCCUUGUACUUCUUGUCAUUUUGCUUGUUGUACCUUGACUUCUUUCCUUUGUUGGGACAAUCAGCUACAAGAUGGCCGGUGUCACCACACUCAUAGCAAAACCUCUUUCUAUAUGGCUUGUUUCCUCCAUAUCUCCUUAUCUUAUCUUUCUUCAUUCUUAGAUAGUUCUUGUAGUCUCCCACUAGCAUAGCUUGUUCUUCAUCAAGAUGAUCAUCAUCUUUGUUCUUAUGCUCACAACAUCCUUUGUUGCAAUGACUUGACUCACUUCCAUGUGAAGCUGUGAGUGCUAUGUUCUUUCUUUGAUUUAGGGCUUCUUUGGCUUCAUUAUCCAAGACUUCAUGGUGCAUCAACUUUGCUAGCAUUUCUUCAGGAGUCAUAGUAUGAUAGUUGUCUUUCUCCAUGAUGAUGGAUGCAAGCAUAUUGUUCCUUUGUCUAUACACUCUACAAAUCUUUCUUGCUGCAGAGUUAUCAUCCCAUGUUUUUGCUCCAAGUGCUCUAAUUUGAUUGAUCAAUGACAUAAAUCUAUCAAACAUGGCUUUUGUUGUUUCUCCCUCAAGUAUGCAAAAGUUCUCAAUCUUGCUUUGUAAGAGCUCAAUGUUUCCUACUCUUACACUUUUGUCUCCCUCAAAUGACACUUUCAAGGUGUCCCAAAUCUGCUUAGCAUUCACCAUACCAUUUACUUUGUUGUUGUCCUCUGGAGUAAGACAUUGCAAGAUCAAGGUGGCAGCUGUUGCAUUAAGGUGAAAGUCUCUCUCAUCUUCGGGAGUCCACUCACUUGGAUCUUGCGGUGGAUUCACUCCAAUGUCCACUACUUCCCAGCAUCUUGCGGCAAUGAGAUGCAACUUCAUUCUAUGAGCCCAAUCGGUGUACCUUAUACCAUCAAAUGGAGGUGGCUUUCCAGGAUUGAUCAUCGGCAAUGUUGGAUUCUUGCUUGAACUGCUAUAAUCAAACCAAGUUUUGUUGUAGGUCUUUGACACCUUGCUAGCAUCUUCAUUUCCACCUUCGCUAUCCGACUCAUGAUUGCUUUUACCUAUGAGUUCUUUCAUCUUGUCUAGUGUUGAUAUUUGGUAACGCAAUUAGAAAAUGAUCCGCAAGCGCACGGAUAUCGGUGAGCAUUUCACCCGGGAGGUUAUCCAGAGUUAUCGUAUUUAUAUUUUUACCACUGGGAGAAAGGGUGCAUCUGACUAAGCAAAUCUAUUGCUACUAUCCCUUUAGGCUACAAAGAAUGUCUCUCGAUGUGAGUGAUGUAUAGAGAAGACUGCAACCGUAGUCUCGUUCUAACCUUGGUAAGGAUGAUCUACUGUUCUAUUGGGGAGGCUCACGGAAUCUAGACAACACAAAGGAUGUUCGACCCGCACCUAUAAACCUACCCGUCCUGCUAACGAGAUGUGAUCUGCAAAGGUAACUCGGAAAUGUCACGUUCCUCGCUACUACCACGGUCCAGCUAGUCAGGGGAUAUCUACGAGUACCCUAGCCUAAACACCACGUUUACGCUAGCAAGUGAUUACUCUAAUACUCAACCGGAAGAGGAUUAAAGUAAACUCAUAAACCAAAGAAAAAUAAAACAAGAACUUACUAGUAUUAGAAGUCGAAUUACUGAAAAAUCUUAGAAGCAAGCCUCGGGUUAGGAGACUUGAUCCCGUAGGUACAACUCGGAGUAGACACCGACAGGCCGGCCUUCCUCCGAACCACACCUCCACUCUAUCUCUCUCAAUCUAGUAGAAACUAGAAGAUCUAUUUCUACCUUACAUUGGUUGCUAAGCCUAAAAAGAAAUAUUAUUUAGAGAAGAGGUUUUCCUUCGAGGGCACCCCUCAAUCUCUAUGAUAAUUUCUUGUCUCCUCCAGGGCCAGAGGGGGUCUCCUUAUAUAGUCCUCCCCUUCUAUGCGUUUUUGGGUCGAUAGGCGAGGUGGUACUAUGUUAUUCUGGAUCCAAUAGGUCGGUGGAACGUCGUGUGCAAAGAGAGUCCGGAACGGAGUCCAGAGGGGGGCGGGCGCCUAGGUCCUCAGGGCGCGCGCCCUGGGCCUGGCCCCUUUCGGGCUCCGCUUCCUUCCCGUGGCUUCUGGAGUCUUCUAGAUGGUAGAAAAUUGCGCGGUGGAUUGAUAUCUCUAUGUAAUCCCGACAUGUGGGCCUUUCUUCCUUAUUUCCUGAUAACCCCCUGCAGAAAUAGACAAACAUCAAAACUCGUGGAAUUCUGUCAGAUAAAACCCUAAGUCUAGAUGUUGAUUUCAUUUGGAUCCUUUUCUUUGUUUAUUUGAUAAUUAAAUUUGAUACUUAAGGACCGUCAACAAACUCCCCCAAGCUUACCUCUUGCUCGUCCCUGAGCAAGGAUGAACUCAAGAGUUUCUGCAGUGGUUUCAUUUCUUAGAAGUACACACGCAUUUAAGCAAGAUCUCAUCUCUGAGUUAGAAUAAACUGUUAAGACUUAAAACUUACUUACUUUACCUACACCAUAGGACUUGUAACCGUCACUUCUGUCUUGAGUGGUUAAAAGAUAGAACAGUCUAGCCAAGUGCCAUGUCUCUUAUUCUUGAUCAGCUAUAGCUCUGGGGUUUUUGUAGAUUUUCAAAUAAAACUCAGAAAUUCCUUGUAUGAUUCUCUCAGGUCUCUCUUUUGUGGUAUUUUUGGAUCCUUACCAAGGCAGUGAUGGUAUAUGCCUUCUCUCAAGAUAUGUAGUAUUCGUGGUAUGAAGCAUAGUGUCAUUAUCUUCUCUCUCACCCUACUCUAAUAAGGCUUUAAUAUCUGGAGCUCAUAGGUGGGAGAUAAAGUAUACAUACUUACAAGACAUUUAUUGCAUAGUCAAACCAUGGAUCCAAAGAAACAAAUCAAUAAGCCAAAUCAAGAUGUGCAUGUGUGGCGAAUGAAUGGUGUAUAGUGAUGAUGGUGAUAACGAUGGUGGUGGAAGUCUAAUUCUACUUUGCUCUUUGAGGGGAUACAUACCUUCCUUGCUUUUGAAACUUUAUGAGGAGAAUGAGAUGCUCUUAUUUUUCUUUUCUUUCGAGGUUCCGAGCACUUGCUCCUUUUUAUUUCUUCGUAUCUUUUAUUUUCUUUUUCUCUUUUUUUUAGAGCAUUCAUCUCUUGAGAUAAUAUAGCAAGUGGUAGUAACAAGAUAACUUGAGCAUUUAUUUCACAAGGGGAAACAGAAAUAUUUUUGGUUAUUCUCUCCCGGAUUAGGAGUAGAAUACUUUUGGGUGGUUUUGGAGAUGGAAAUGAGUGGAUAUAUGUGGAUGGUACUUCCGGAGUAGAAGUAGCAUGUAUGAGUGAACGUGCAAGCGAAUCUUGAUUUAACCACAUGACAAGCUCCUAAGGGUCUACACAGCUUGACCACACUCAAUGCUCAUAAGCAGUAAAUAGUAAAUGUGUGGCUCAAGGUCUAGCAAGCAUGUAUAUAUAUGGCUGUGGUAGGAAUUUAAACUCUCAUCAUACAGGAACUCAUCAUGUGUUAUUUUAAAGAUUUUUCAAAGAUAAAAUUCUCCAGAAUUCUAGCAUCUCUUGGAACAGAUGAACAGCAGCUCAACCUUCCCAUAUCGUAUCCGUUAACAACUUAGACUUCAGAUCAAGUUUUCAUCCCACAAGUUUAGGUCUAGAGCAAGCCUUAAAUUAUAACAGUUAUAUCUAAACUUGAGAGAGAACUUCAAAUUUGCAAAUUAGGCAGAGAAACUAUUCAUCAUAUCCAUGCUUAAGUUUUAUUAGAUACCGAUUAGCAUAACCACUUUAUUUAUUUAUUAAAGACACUAAGCAAAAUAUAUAUAAGCAUAAAAUCUUUAUUUGGUUUUUCAUAGUUAUGUGUAUUUAUAUUCUAAUAUAGUAUAAGUAUAAAGAUAGAUAGAAAUACUUAUCGAGAUAAAUGGGGGUGCUCUCCCCCAAGCUGAAUUUUGACGUAAUUUCUCUUGAUGUAGCUAGCAGGUGGCAGAGGUGUGUUUGAAAGUCAGCAGUAUUUUGACAGCGAUUAGAAUGUCCUCCGUCUGCUAGUCUUCUUGAUUCUUAAAUUCUGUGGAGCUCAAAUAGACAACAAAGCUUUGUGGAACUGGUUAAGUGUUAGCAUAAAUAUCUAGCCUUUAUCAUGUUGAGACUCCUUAAUAAAUAUUACUCCCUGUUUUUAUAUUUUUGUUUUUAUAAAGCAGAAAAAUAUUUAUUUUAUUUUUAUGCCACCACAGUGAAUGUACUUAUGGGUUUUAUGCCACUUGUCUACUCACAUGGGGCUUACAGUUUUUUUCACAUUUUUAUUUUCUUUUUAGGAUAAUACGAACAUGAUUAACUAAGUAAACUAUUUGAAAUAAUUAAAAGGGAAAGGAUAACUACCAAGUUUACCUCUUGGCAAGGCGUUCGGUGUUUUUAAGUCCUCCGAGCGGGACUCUCCAUUUUCUUAAUCGUCCUGGGAUUCGCUGGAUGACGUAGUCGGUGAUUCCGGUGGCGCCUCCUCUUCGUGUGUAACUAUAUUCUCUCUCCACACCUGACUCGGUGCUAUGGUCUCCUCAGGACAGUUAUGUUCAAGUGGUAUGUCUUCAGUCCUUAUCACUUCUCCUUCGUAGUCUACCCAUCCGUCCUUGAUGAUUUGCCUCCUCUGGUUGCGGUUGCGAUGUCUUCUUCUUGUCCUGACCUACUUAGAGUCUUCAACUAUAUAGUUAGGGUCAGUAAAACAGCGGCAUACCUUCUCAGAGGAGAAGUGUAUGUGGACUUCUCCAGUUCCAAUAUAGAUGAUAGCUUUGAUAGUGCUGAGGAACUGUCUUCCAAGGAUGGUGGGUGGAUCAUACUCGUCUUCUCCCAUGUCAAUGACCUGAAAAUCAUCUAUAGCUGAAUGUAUAUUGGUUGUAGGGGCAUGGUUUCAUGCAGGAGCUGAUAAGUGACUACGGCCAUUAUAUUGACGUUAGAUCCGGUGUCAUAGAGUGUCUUCUGAAAAGAGUAUCUGUUGAUUGUGCACUCAAUGCUUAGAACACCAGGGUCGUCCUUCUUGAUCAAGAAAGGUGACUUGAGUCGACGAUCUUGACCUCCUUGAACUGCAGUGACCAUCUUAGCUGACUCUGUCCACAUUUGCUUGUUCCUAUUCCUCCUGUUGGUCCUCUUCCUUGGUUGAUGUCGGGGUUGCUCUGAAGUUUGUGUAGUCUUGUUCUUGAAGGAAAGUCUCCUUCUUCCCCUUGAUGUAGAGACUGAUCUUGGCAGCAUUAGCGUAGAUGACAGCUCUAGUGUUUAGGAAUGGCCUCCCUAAGAUGAUGGGUGCCCUCUCCUCAGUACCAGUCUCUAUCACCAUGAAGUCUGCUAGAGCAUACAAGGUACCAACUCGGACGCAGAGGUUCUUCAAUAUUUCCUUUGGGGAACUGAGUGUCCGAUCUGCAACCCUGGGCAUAAUGUUGACGCUGGAGCCAAAGUCGCAGAGUGCUUCUGGGAAGUCCACCAUGCCGAUGGAGAUCGGGAUGACGGGACGUCCU
rnacentral:lncRNA from 1 species